UCCCACAAAGAAAAUAAAUAAAUUUUUUUCUAAAAAAAAAAAAAAAAAAAAAAGUGAAAAGACGACAGGCGUGCAACCUUCUCGGCAUAGAACCUCUUUGUUUCUUAGCUUCAUUCUGGGAACUGUCCCUAUUCCUCUUUCAUCUCUCAAUCCUUUUUCCCUGUAACGGACACUCUCUCCUCUUCCUAUUCCUCUUCUUCCUCCUCCUAUGGAUGUGCCUUUGACCACUCCCCUUUUCUCCUUUCUUCUUCUCCACAUUCCACAUUUCAAAUGAACCCACCCCCUUUCCUCUUUUUCUAACCCCACCCACUCCAUGGCUCUCCACGAUGAACCUCAAGUUCACGACAUUCAAACCACCCACUCCUUUCUCCUUGAUGCUCUUUUCUGCGAAGAACUUUGUUGCCAUGAAGAUUUGCCUGUUAAUGCUUCUGAUGACGAUACUCAGUACUGGGAAACUCUCAGAAAAGACCAGCCUUUUCUCGCUUUUAAUUUUCUGGAAAACGACCCUCUUUGGGCGGAUAACCAACUCCACUCUCUGAUUUCAAAAGAAGAGCAAACCCAAGUUUCUUAUGCUUCUAUGACCUCUGACGACUAUCUAAUUGAAGCCCGGAAUGAGGCUUUAUCUUGGAUUUUUAGAGUCAAACACCACUACGCUUUCUCUGUUUUAACCUCCCUUCUUGCUGUUAACUACUUCGAUAGAUUCGUUUCCAAUGUGAGGUUUCAGAGGGAUAAACCAUGGAUGAGUCAGCUUGCAGCUGUUGCUUGCCUCUCGCUGGCUGCCAAAGUGGAGGAGACCCAAGUUCCCCUUCUUCUUGACCUUCAAGUAUGUUUGAAUUCUUCACCGAUAAAUACCACCUUCCAAGUAUUUGAUAAAAUGCUGCACUAAAAUUACUUUCUUCCUCCUUUGCUCUUUUAAGUUUAGACCCAUGUUAAAACUCGGCAUCGUUGUACUUGUAUUAUGUUUUAGGUGGUGGAAUCCAAGUUUGUAUUUGAAGCCAAGACCAUCCAAAGAAUGGAGCUACUGGUGUUGUCUGCCCUUCAAUGGAAGAUGCAUCCAGUAACCCCCAUUUCCUUCUUUCAUCACAUUAUCAGGAGGUUACCUUUGAAGAAUGACAUGCUUUGGGAACUUCUUGGGAGGUUUCAGAACCAUCUCCUUUCUAUCAUAGCUGGUAAAUGGCUUAAGAUUUCUUAUUUCUGUGCUUAUUUAUGUUAGCACGUAAAUGUUCCAUGAUCAAACAAUUGGGUUCUUAAUAUCAUUAGUUUUUUCGAUGCCAGAUCAUAGAUUCUUGUGCUACCUGCCUUCUAUCUUGGCCUCUGCAACAAUAUUGUAUACCAUCAGUGAGAUUGCGCCAUAUAAUUUCUUGGAGUACCAGAAUGAGUUCCUCAGUGUACUUAAAAUUAAUAAGGUAUUGAUAAAUGUCUGAACAUUUCUAUUCUCUGAUAAUUUAUAUUGUUUUUAGAUCUUAGUCUUUUGCCUGAUCCUUGCCAGCUGAAACUUCUUUAUAUGUUUACAGAAUCGUCUAGAUGAAUGCUACAAAUUCAUCCUUGAUUCUCUGGGCAGUCAUGACAGUUUGCAAAAUCUAAGUGACCAAAGCCAGCAAUUGUGUGAACUGGGCAGCCCAUGCGAUGUAUUGGAUGGAUACUUCAUAUCCGACUCCUCGAACGAUUCAUGGCCAAUGGUACCAUCUAUCUCACCCUAGCCUGAAACUCCUCGUUGAGAGAUCGAUUCAUCUGCCUACACAGUUAUGCUGGUUUAGCCAAAUUGCUGUUGAUGUUCCCGCUUUCUAUCAGCUUUCUGCUGAAGAAAUUGUUCCAGAACUCUCUUCACAUACAGUCACUGUAUCGUCACAUGAUUCUUGUAAUACGAUAUCCAAUGUGGUUUGUGGCCACAGCCCUUGGGAAGAAAACUAACGAGACUGAGAUCAAUGAUGUGAAGAAGCUUAUUAAUUCUUUCGCUGGUGGGGGGGUCGGGGGGGGAGAAAGGAGUGAGUGGGGUUGAGAAUGGAAGAGUUUGGUUGGCUUUCUAUGUUGAGUUAUGAACAGUCUUUUCCUGUACUUUAUCUGGGAUGAUAGAUGUAGGACUUCAAUUUGAUGUGAUUGUAAAUUCAAAUCCAGUUCUCUCUUCUCCUUCCUAAAUUUGGAUUUUUGCUACUUGUAAUCUUUUGUUCAAUCCAAAUGCUUCUGUAUUUUAUUUUAGUUUCAUACUAGAAGUACAAUUCAGACUCUAAAGUUAAUUAUAUUGUUAUAUAAUCAGUAUAAAUUUAACUAAAACAUUACGCUAUAUCCCAAUUCUUGCCUAUAUGAACAUAUUCUAAAGUGUUACUACUAAGUACAAACAUUAAACAAGGAAGUUCAUAACGAAAAUUAUUGUCCUCACCUAUUUGAACUCACAUAUAUUUUUUCAAUUGCAGCCUAAGUGUAAAAGGAACAACUGUUGACUAUUGUAGGACUGGCUAGAAAGGAUGUUUGGUUCUCCAACAAACAGUUGGAUGACAGUGAAGCUUCAGGGAGUCAAAAUCAUGCUGUAAAAACUGACGGCUGAAACUUGACUGCACAGUUGGAAUUCUUCAAAGCAGUAAAUCCAAAGGUUGGUUUGCACGUUUUGUAUUCAUAGCAUAGUAAAAUGGGAAUCAAAACCAAUAGAAAAUUGGAACAGGAAUUUUGUUAAACAAAUAGCAAAGACCUUGGUCAUUUUCGUUUUGUCAUCUGCAUAUGCCUUUAAAGAGUACCUAGCUGCUGCUAGCAAAUGACCAAAGUUCCAUGAUUGAAGAAAACCUUGAAUUUUUAUGGGGCCUUUUUUAGUACAAGGCAAAUUCAUUUUUUUCUCUUUGUUGAGUUGAGCAACUUGACAAAAUGACAACUGAUCUUACAAUAUUUCAAUGUUUCUAUUUUGGGUCUAAAUUAUUCACUUUUUUUAUAGUAAUUGGCUUGCUCUGGACCCCAUUCUUUUUGGCAUAGUUAUACUGAUUGAGUUUCCCAUGAUGGCUCAUAAGAUUAAUGACAAUAUUCCUCCAAGAAUACAUGGGGCACCAACCUCGGUGAUGAGAAACAACAACACACCUUACAGUGUAAGAGUACUCCUUAAAAAAAAAAAAACGGAAAGAGUACAAAAGGGUGGACAAGGAAUCCCCCUGAGACUAUGAACCUCACAGAAAACUCUCUGAUCAAGAUCAAUCGUAAUGGAUCCUAACGUUACAACAAGAUCCACGGGAUAUACGAACUAGAUUUGUAAAAUUUUCUUUAUUAUUAUUCACAUGGUAUACGGGCCUAACCCCACUGCUUUUGCACAUAUUUUUCUUGGAUCUCAAACCAAAACUUUACACAAAAACAUGAGUUCAAACACUGCAUAUCAGAGUGCACAGAAAUAAGUUACAUAUUUAGGUAUUCCUUCUAGGUUCGCGUAAAGAACUUUCCCCAGAGAUGUUAAUCAAAACAAGUGAGAUUAGGCCUGCAAGAAAAGGUAAGAAACAACCCAUUAGUUUUCAGACAUAUUCUUUAUAGGAAGCAUUAUGAGCUCUGGAACUUGCCUUGGUUGAGAUAUUGCUAGACAGCCAAUCAAGACCUUCAUACAGUCCUUGGCCUGAAGUGGCACAAGUAGCCUGAAUAUACCUGCAUCACCCAUCUCUUUGUUGCAGUAAAAUUCAAAAUGGAAAAAGAUGAGGUAUACCCAAGUUUUUAAGGUGGUUUAUUGAAUAAGUUAAUUAUGACAUUAGAAAGCAGACCAUAUAAGAAAGUAAGAAGAAACUCUUUGAACAUGGGCUAUAGUUAAGUUUUCGUUUGAAAUAUUGUCUAGGUGCCCAUCAUAGGGAAUAAGGUCAUCAAGAGAUUAUAAAUAUGGGAGACUAGCUAUGGGAUUCUAGAGAGAGAUAUGUAUAUAUACCAGCGACGAUUUCGGAGGGAGUGAAGGCCAAGUUUAUCAGUGAUUUCAGCAACAGUCAUAGCGUUUGGAAGGUCUUGCUUGUUAGCAAACACUAGCACAGUUGCAUCUACCAGUUCAUGCUUGAAAUGAGAAGAAAAAGAACAAUGAAGCUUAAAAGCCAAAGAGAAGAAAUGUGAGGGAUCAUGGAACAAAGAAGUAUAUAGAAUUAAGCACCUCACUAAGCAUCCUAUGAAGCUCAUCCCUAGCUUCUGAUAUCCUCUCUUUGUCAUUACUGUCCACCACAAAGAUAAGACCUUGCGUGUUCUGGAAAUAAUGCCUCCACAGAGGUCUAAUCUGUAUGCCAUCAUCAAGAAAGCAAUGGAAUCAAGAAGGCUACUUGAAUAUAUCUCGAACUAUGCAUCUUUAUACCACCCACCUAAUAGUUCAAUCUCAAAUUAUUUUGUGACAAACUUUUUCUUUAUUAUUUUCUUUUGUAAAUGUUUUGAUCGUUUUCUUUUCCAUGUUAUUAAAGGGGCUGCAAUAAAAUGGGUGAAACUUGCAGCUCAGUGCACCCAAGUUUGCUCACAAAUCAAAACCUCUUUAUUGGGUCGAUUUGUUCAAAUAUGUCCAGACUGUACCUCAAUUUUUCUCAAAUGAUCAAACUAAGAAAAUACCUUGUCUUGGCCUCCAACAUCCCACACUGUAAAGCUAACAUUCUUGUACUCUACCGUUUCCACGUUAAAACCUGAUUAACAAUAAAUAAAGAAAUCAAACUAUGUCAAAUGAAGCAUAACUCAAUUGGCAAUUUGACAACCUGAUUAACAAUAAAUAAAGAAAUCAAACUAUGUAAACUGAAGCAUAACUCAAUUGACAAUUUGACAAGUAAUAUCUCUCUUGAAGUCAAAAGCUUAAAUUCACGUAACUACUAAUCGGUACUAAAGAAAAUGGUGUGUUUGAAUUAUCUAUGGGAAAAAAUGUUUUUCAAGAAGACAUUCUCUUUUAAACACUUUCUUUAAAACAAAUUUAAAAUUUAAACACUUACACAUUUGAUUAGAUCAUUUUUUAAAUGUUUAUGUACAUAAUCUUUUUUUAAAAAAACCUAUUUUCAAAACCAAGUUUGGAGUGUUUUCUUUAAAAUAAAUUACUUUUCAAUUUCAUCAUUUUUAAAAUGCAUUUUGAAAAAUUAUCAAAUAUUUCAAAUUUUUUAAAAAUGAUUUUUUUUUUUCAAAUCUAAACCCUUCAACAGUUAAUUCAAACAUACCCUAGAAGCAUUUCCUAACAAUGUUGUUUAAAUAAGGUAAAAGUAAAGAAGAGGUCAACCAUUUAAAAGAAGCUGAUCAACAUCUUUCAAAAUUAGCAAGACAGAAGAAAAGGCAGAAAUUUAUAGUACCAAAAUGUUAUCAAAUAAAUACUACAAGAAGACCUAAUCAAUACAAAUAAACAGAGGAUCUCUCCUGAAACAUUGGAAAAACAAAAGCAAAACAGUAGAGAAAUACGUAGACACCAACAAUAGAAGGGUUUUAGAGAAUAGGACAGAUACCUAUGGUGGGUAUAGUGGUGACAAUCUCUCCAAGCUUCAACUUAUACAAAAUGGUAGUUUUUCCAGCAGCAUCAAGACCCACCAUUAAAAUCCUCAUUUCUUUCUUUGCAAACAGCAUCCUCACAAGUCGAGAUAUCGCCACUCCCAUGGCUGCCGAUCAAAAUAUUUCAAACCACAAGUUAACCGAUCGAUAUGAAUUCUUGUAGUGAAAGAGGGAGAAGAGAGAACCCAAAUGAAAGUUGGCUAUGGCGUUUAUGGAACAUUACACAAGAUGAUAAAUAAAAAGGGGAGGGAAUUCGAUUCUGAUAAGACUUUGGGAAUAAAGGGAAAAUAAUUUUGCCUGAUUAUUAUUUGUGGGUUUGCAGUAGCAAAAGGCAUUUGCUUGUGAAAGAUUCUUUAAUUGCCAAGUUGUAAUGGUGGAUCUCAAACGUACAAAGUAUAAUCAAAUUGCUGUUUUUCUAAGCUACUCACAUUCUCUUCUUAUAAUAGUAUCGUGCGAUUGAACUAAAGAAAACCAACAAUAGCCCAUCAAGCUAAACAGCUUUGGGCAGUUUUAUCUUUUAACCAUAUUUAAUGGUGAAAGGUGAUAAAUCGAGAGGUUGGUUUCAUCUAAUCAGCCUUAAGGUUAGUCGAGUAACUCACUCUAAGAGAACACCAGACAUAAAUUAAAACAAAUAUAUCAUUUGAUUUGUUGAUCCUUAAAAAAGAAAUAAGCAAAAUUUCGUUGUUGAGUGACUAAUGGAAAGCUCAUGAAAAGUUACAAUCCUUAAAAUGUCUUUAUCGACGUUGUUUUUUAAUCGAAAGCUAACUAUCGUGACUUUGAACUCUCAAUACACAUACUUCCUGAAAUGAUUUAGAGCUCCAAUUCUAAUAAUUUCUGUUUUCAACUAUUACAACCUACAAAUUGUUAAUAAUACUAUUUCAAAUUCUUCCUUAUCAUGGUUCAAAUUCUUCCUUAUCAGCACCUGCUAUUUCACAUUUAUCCUUUCUUUUACUUUUGUUUACUCAUAUUCAUAUUAUUUUAGUCUGCACCCCAAGUCCUCCAGAGCUAUAAUAACAACGGGUUCUAGUAACCCAACCAGAGCCCCAACCACAUCUUGUAUUAUUGAUUUCAAUUGAUUUGACACGAAUCUUUGCCUCAAUUUCGACGGUUAUAGCUGAAGAAGACGGAAAGAAGUAAAGCAUGAUGACGACAGAAUGGGGUAGGAGUGCAACAAGAUCACAAACCACAAUACCACAUCAUAACAUAGAAAUUUCGGAGCAAAACACGUUUCUGCCCCAAAAGGGAUUUUGUUUCAUUUUAGGGGUCCUUCGGCAAUUCUACGUAAAAAAGAGUUACAUGAAACAUUCUGAACAAACAGAUCUUAGAAUUAUAUCAGAACUACUCUAGAUACAGUGGCCAGCCAACUCGGGUAAACUUGACAACCAUCCUACUUGAGGAAUUAUUCGGACGGAUAUAAAAAAAGAAUGGUUUGGUUUGUUAGUAGGUCAUAAGCGGUGACCCACUGCAAUGAACAUCAGAAGCAUCAGAUGUCCUCUGCCUUGGAGACAAACUUGUUAUGCCAGCAACAUCUACAUCGAAAUUGAUAAUACUCUUUCUCUUCUGGGUUUCUAAACCUAGUUUCUCAUCAGAAACUUCAGCGAUUGGACUCAAAAGAUUGAUUGGUUCGUUACGUUGACCAGACACCAUAGCUUGAGCUUCUGCCACAACUGAUGCAUCAUCAUCUAUAGCAUAUAGUAUCUUCCUUAUAGCUCCUACAACCUGACACAAAACGAAAUGGAAAUGCUCAACUCAAUGGGCUUGAAAUUCUAGAGGACCAAAUAAAAUGGUUAGAAAAUAAGAGAAUUUCUGGAAAAAGUACAGGCAAAUUGUCAAUCUCUGGACUCUGGCAGAGUAUCUCAAUAUCCCUUAGCUUUGCAAAGUAGAAAUCCCUCUCUUUCUCAAGGCUGUCGAUUGACAGUUUCAAUGUUGUGAUCUGCAUUUGACAUUAGUAAGUCUAUAUAUAUAUCCUCUCCACUAUUCAUCACAAUCUAAGAAAUUCACUCAGUUUCAGAAAAUACCUGUUCAUCAUAUGCAGUCAAUCCUCCAUUUGAUGAAGGUUUUGAAGCAUUCGCUGCCUGAUUUCCAGAGUUCACUGAUGCCUCAUUUCUCCGAGCAUUCUGAGAGACCUGAGCCCUAGAUGUAGCACCCGUUGAACCUUUUGCAGAAGAAUGUGAUGUGGUGCUCUUUUUGCUAGCGUCCUUUCCUCCCUUGGAUGCUUCUCUCCUUUCCAAAGCAUUAUAACUAACAAGAAAACCAAAAAUUGAACUGUCAACAUAUUGUAGUGUACUUUGACAAUCCAAUAACUUCUUUACGAUCAUCAAUUUCCAAACAUUGAUGUUGAUCAUUGUGAAAUUAUAUUGUUCAAAUCAUAAAAUAUUUGCAGGUUAGAUCCAAUAGGGUGAUUUAGACAUUAUUGAGAGUAAAAAGCAGUAUGUUUAUAACAAACCAAUAAUGGUAACUGAGUUAAAAGUAGACAAGAUUACCUUUGAAAAACACCUCCAUUAGCAGAAUCACAAUAACGUUUCAUCCACUGCAUGAACUCCAGAUUAUCGAGAGGCCUUCCUUUCACAAGCUUACUCACCUCGAUAUGCUACAACAUUUCGAAGAAACCAGUAACUAAAUAUAGAUCAAGUGCACAAAAAAAUACACAGAACGCAAUAGAAAACUCCAAUCAGCAACAUUUCUUAAAGAAAAAAGAUUAACCUAUGAAGUUUAAAGGAGCGGACUAUUAAAAAAAGAUACCUUGGUGAUUUUUAAUUUGUUGAAGACAUCUUGGAGAACCUUAUAAUUCUGGAUCAUUUCGUAUUCGCUCUUCGCGUCAAAGUUGACCUUGUGCAUUGGAACCAUCCCAGGGUGAGCCGCAUCCAUCAAUUGGCAAUGAACCGCACCCGAGCAUGCCUACAAUUCAAGAAUCCAUGAAAAGAGUAAUCGUAAUAAGGGUUAAACAAAGAAAAUUUCAAAAAUCUUGGAACAAGUAAGAAUGAAAGAAAAAAGGAUCGAUAUUAGGGGUGCUGGGAGAAACCUCCUCGACUUUGGAAAGAUUAAGGUGAAGAGUGGAGUUGAUCCAGGCGAGGAUCUCCGAUCUCCCAACGAAAUAAGCAGAAUCCAUCAUCCCAAUGUUUGUUGCCAUUUCUUAGGGCUCUGAAUCUCACCCAAUGAAAUUCGUCAGAAUUUUUCACCGGCUCUGGAACAAAUUCUCUCUCUGGAGUUGGAGCGCGAAGAGGAUCGAAUUGGGGGUCGGGUUACCAACGGCUCCCUGGGGAGAGGAAUUUAAAAAAAAAGGAGGAGGAGCGGGAUUUCCAAUCAUUCAAAACUUAAACGUCACAUCGUCCGGAACGGCCACCCCACUUCUACAUGGGCUGCCUAUUGGGCCCUUCAAUUCCACUAGAAAAACAUCAGUUCGGCUCAGCCCAAUAACAUCUAUUAUCUUUUUACACUCUGCACAUUUAUGCAAUGGAAAUUAUUUCUUUUAUAUACACUUUUGAGCAAUUCAUGUUCUUUUUUAAUUAUUGUUAUAUUUUCAAGAAGAAAAAAAACAUUAUCUAAUUAUCAUUAUUAUUUGUUUCUCAUAAAUCUUGCUCCAUGUAUACGUUGGCCUUCUAAUCUGAUGGGUAGACUAGAAAUUUUGGUUAAAUUUUUCUACUAUCCAUUGACUUGAAUUUUAGACAUAUUAAAAAAGAAGUAAAAGACCAAAAGAAUCACCACUUCAAAGUAGUUUUGAGUUUUCUUAAUGAUAAGUAAUUUUGAAUUUACAUUGCAAAACAACACUAUUUUUGUAUGAAAGUAAAUCUCAUAAUGAAAAAUAAGUGAUUCACACACUAUAAAAAUGUUCAUUUUACGAGACUAAGAAGGAAAAGUGUAAAAGCUUCACAAAGAUUUAUCCACCCGCCACCAACUUCACAGAAACUAAACCCCUUCCCCUUUUAAAUUUAUCAACGGUUUCUUCCUCGUCCGACGAACCUGGCGGGGCUAAACCGAUUAAGAUCAACAAUUGCGGAUUCUCCAUCCAAAAUAAGCUCAGCCAUGGCUGCACCAGUUGCAGGCCCAUUCAAAAUUCCCCAACAACUGUGUCCUGUCGCCACAUAACACUCACUCACCCCCGGGAGCUUCCCGAUCACCGGCAAGUCAUCAUCCGUACACGGCAAGAAGCAAGCCUGCUCCGCUUUCAAUUCCGCCUCUCCUUCCCCCAAUCGACUUGAUACAGUCUUCGCCACUCUCUUUAGAACGCUUAUCGAUUCUGGAUUGGGCGUUAUCUCCUCUGGAUCCUCCGGCACUUCUUCCACCGCUGACAUCCCGCACAAAUACACCUCCCCUGCCCACCAACAUCAAUCCCAUUUACAAUCAAAAUCAGAAUCCCACAAAAAAAAACUGUAAUUAAAAUUCGAAAGUAGAAAACAAGCUCACCUGUAGGACGAGGAUACAUCUCUGGGUCUAUUGGCCUUCCACCCUGAGCCGGAUAGUAACCUAGAAACAGAGCAUGUGGAGUUAUGGCUUCCGGCUCUUUAGGUUCCAAAACUAUACUGUGUGCUUUCAGGCCAUACACUCUGAACAGUGAUGAUAGCGCCUCAAACUUCCCCGACCAUGGUCCCAACGCAAGAACAACCGCAUCGGCGCUAAUUACUUGGCCGUCCUCCAGCAUCGCCGAUUGAAAUCUGCCACCCUCCAACGUUAGCUUCUCCAAUUUCCCGAUCACAACCUCCACGCCGUACUUUUCCAUUGCAUUGGAUAGAAGGGUCCGAGUGAAGUGCUGUGGGUGAACUUGUGCCGUUGUUUCGGUGUUUCCGAUCGUUCUCGUAUUCUGAACUGGACCGUCGACCCAGGAAGGCACGACGGAAUCGCCGGUGGAUUUGGAGGAGGUAGAGGGAGUGGGAGGUUUCUGCGAUUCCGAAAUCGUAAGGCUGAGAGUGUCUAGGGCUCUAUAUCCGUACGAUUUAGGGCCAUCUAGCUCCUGUGAGAGCGAGCGGUGGAGAUUAAAGCUGGCGCGAGCGAGGGCGGAUAUAGGUCCACCAUCGCACCAAUCAUAGGCAAGGAAGCCGCCGGCCUUGCCCGAGGCGGCGCAUGCGAUGGCAGAUUUCUCGACGAGAGUAACUGCCGCCCCGUUCUUAGCUAAGAAGUAAGCGGUGCAGACUCCGAUCACUCCACCACCGCAAACCACGACUUUUCUAGUUUCCUGGGGAGUAUCCAUGGACACCGGCGAUGUUACCGGAGAUGAGGAGGAUCGAAUCAAUGUGAGGGUGGAAGCUCUAGAGUUUGGGAUGUAACGAAGGAUGGGAGAGAACGACGAAACCGGCAGUGUCCCUGCCAUUUCUGCCAAUAAUUCCCUACCAAAUUCUUUUCUUGGGCCGACGUGUGAGGGUAGGUUCAUGAACUUGGGCCAAAUUUCGGCCCAAAUCGAAUCACAGAAACCCUUCUUUUUUAAGGCCCAAAAGAACCCGAACUGAAAGUUUUGUGGCCAACAUCCUAAUACCUUUUUCUUCUUCUUUUUCUUUUUCAUUUUUUUUAGAAUAGCAAUAAAAAUUUAAAAAAUAUAUAAAGUAAAUUAUGAAUUGAAUCUUCAAAUACCCAAAGCACUAAAAAUUCACUGUAUUCUGUAUUGAAGAAACACCUUUUAGAGUUAAAAUCCACAUUGAAUUAUUAGCAUAAGAAUUGUUCCUAUUCAAAUAGGGGGGGAUUAGUGGUGACUGAGAUGCUUUCCCUCCACACAAUCAUGUCACUUAUUUCCUCUAUUUUCAUCCAAAUCUUCUUUUUUAAGUAAUUGUUAUGAAAUUUUGUUUUCCAUUGUUGUUUUGUACUUUGAAAUUUUAAUUCCAUAACCAUUAUUCUAAAUUAGCAUGUCAAUUAUAAAAAUAAUAUAUUGAAAGACUAUCGGGAAUGAUUGAGUUUUUUUUUUUUGUUUAAUUUAAUACUCCAAAUAAUCUAUAGUUUUUAGGACUACCAUUAGAUCAUACUUUAUAAAUCCUAUCUCCUUUUUUUUCAAUUGUCAUAUUACACGGUGACUCUCACACCUUUGGUAGAAUUUUCUUUUUAUAAAUACAUAAAAUAAAUAAAACAAAUGACCUAUUUACUAAGCAUGUUAAUGAUACAGUUAUUUAACUCUAGUUUUACAAUCCAUUACUAACUCAGGCAUCACAACGUGCAUGUGGAGUAUGACACCGUAGAUUGAUGUGAGUAUAUUUGUCAAGUAGGUCAUCAUACAUUUGACGAUAUGGUUCAAAUCAAAGCAAUGCAUGUUUCGAUCAAAUUUUUUUAAUAACAAUUUUUUUCUCUCAUUUAUAUAAUUUGUUUUACGCUUCCCAUAAAAGUCUUAAUCUUUCAAUACCUUUAGUGGCUAGUUGUCACAUAAUUCAUUAUUUGAUUACGAAUUAUCCUUGAGUUGUACAAUCAUUAUACUAUAUCUAUGUAUUACACACAUAACAUGUUGAUAAAAAACAAACACUAGAAUCAAAACCAUUGUUUAACUUGACAUGUACAAAAUCAAUGGUUCAAGUCUUCAUCCUCCAUGUUAUUGUAUUAACCGUGAAAGUUUUCCAUCCUAAUUUUUCUUUUUAUUUUUUUUAAAAAAGAGGAAUGAUAGAAAAUCCUCUCAUUCCCUAAAAUCCAACUUAAAUAAUAUAUAUGACAUAUAUAUAUUAAAAGGAGAAGAAGAGUUAAUACAAUAUAUAUAUAUAUAGAAGUUGGAAAAGGGAUCGAGAAUCAAUAAUUGAAAACAAAAGGGGAAACAAAGGCUAACAAAAAGUGAAGAAACUCAGUAAAGGCAUACACAUUCAUUCAGAAGAGUACUCAGAGGAGAGGAAGAAGACAAAGGAUUGAGAGUUGGAAAGGGCAGAGACCCCUUUUGUUUGCUUCUAUUCACAUUUCACACAAUCAUUCUAAUCUAACCAAUACAUUUGUUUCUAUCGUAUUUGUCGUAUAUAAUCGAUCGAUAUUGUUACAUUUUGGACAUGGUUCUUAUAAUUUUGUUUUUAAUUUUGGUUAAAAGACUCCGUAUUAUUAAUAGAAAUAGUUAUCCACACUUAUAUAUUAUAAAUGUUUGAAAGUUUUUGUUUGGUUGCAAUUCAAACUAUCAUAAAUUAUAUUUUUGGGACUUCAAUAUGGUUGCUCUAAAAAAUUAAUGCAAAUUAGAGAUUGUGACUUGCUACCACCCAAUGAGUGGGCAUAAGAAGAGAAGAGAAAAGAAAAGAAAGAGGGGCAGAUUAUAUUAGGGACCAACCACUACUCAUUUUUGACAAUUUCAGUUUCCACUUUCUCAAUGUGCAUGAAGUAUUUUUAAUUCAUGAGAAUGAAAGCUUUGUUUUCUAGGCCCAAGACCUACUUGGCUUCCUUCUCUCUCUCUCUUUUCUAAUUUAUUUUCAUAUAAUUGGUUGCUUUACUUGUAUUUUGGUGCAGAAAUAAUUGGGUGUGUUAGAGACCAAAUACAUUAAUUAAGAUGCUUUUCAAGCUUUACGUUUUGGUUUCAUCCAAAAAGUAUCAUAUUGUUGCGAAGAAUCUUCACUUCUAUACUAUCAAUCUUUUCCUUAUUUAGUCGAUAUAUAUAGGACUUUGGUUGAGAUAGUGACUUUUGUUUUCAUUAUCAAUUUUAAAUAUGACUGAUACACUAGCUCACACAAGCAUAAAGCGGGUUGAAUAUCAUAAUCAUGAAUAAUGUACAGAUUAAUUUAACGGUGGUCAUUGAGAACUUCCUAAAAAUUGGUUUUAUAUAAACUUACUUUGAUUAUUUAUAAUGGUAUUCUCUACAUUGUUGAACAUCUGGACUAUAAUGAUAUGCUAUGUAUCAUUUUUGUAUCGAAGUUUAGAAGGAAAUCUUUCUAUUAGUCAUUGUUCAUUGAAAAUUAACCAACCAAUAACAAUUUCAUGAAAAAAAAUAACAACUUGUUUAAUUGUAAGAGAUAACAACAGAAAACUAGAUGAAAAAAAUAAUCAAUGGCAAACAAUUUGAUCCUCACAAUUUCUUCGUUUUUUUUUCUUCCAUAGAAUCUCUGCCACUUUUCUUGUGAUAUUUAGUGAAGAACUUUUUGCAAGAUAUAAAGAAUUAAACGGAGGUUAUGAACAAUGAAUGAAAAAUCAUUUUUUGUUAGUCGUUCCCAUUUUUUUCAUGAACAUUCAUCUUUAUAAAAUAGUAUGAUUCGAGGAGACAUUAGAAAAAGGUGUAGAAAAGAAAUAUAUACAAGGACACCAUCUCAAAGCAUUAUACUAAUCACAUGACUAAAUAAGUAUAUUCAAACUUAAACCGAUUUAAAAUAAGAUGAUUAGAAACUAAAUACAUAUAUUUAUUUUAUAGUACGCGAAGCUCAACACUUCUCAAAUCUUUAUUUUGACGUAUAGAGCAAUUGCACUUUUAAUAUUUUAUCAAAUUCUAAUUAAUUAUUUCUCACAACUAAUACAACCUUGAAUGAGUGAUGAUGUGAAAGAAAAGGUUUGGAAGUUUGGAGGUGAAUGAGGCAAAAGGAAAAACGAUACAAUUGGGAAAUAAGAACCUAUCCUACUUCAUACACAUAUCCUAAUCAAUCAUAAGCUUAGACUUCUCUUUAUAAAAGUUGUGUUUUCAUCAAACUUUUACCUAAAUUUAAAUUAUUAAGCGUGAUCUCCAAUUAGCUACCCUACUUAUUAAUCACUAUUGAUAUUCAUUUUUUAUAUAUGUAAAACAAAGUUUUUAUAUAUUAAAAUAAAAAAGAGUAGAAGAUGUUACUUAAUUUACUGACCCACCACAAACUCUUUAAAAAAAAUUAAGAUUUAAAGUGAUGCAUGGAAUAUUAAAGAAAAAAUGAUGUUAAAAGCAAGUUAAGGGAAAAUAUUAUAUGUAUAUAUGUGACAAAAUAAUGCCUUACAACUCCAAAGUUUAUAAUAAUAAAAGAGAGGAGAUUUCCAAAUUGCAUGCAUAAUAUAUAUAUGUGUGUGGAUAUGUUUAGUUGAAUUUAACCUAGUUGGGUUUGCUAGUGGGAGACUUAUUGAUUAGGUUCUUAUAGCAAUCAAUUAAUGAACCCUAAGGAAGUUGCAUUAGUGGAGAUUGUCUAAAUUGAAUAUUCUUCUUCUAUUUUGCAUUCUAAAGCUUUUUAUUAUUAUUAUUAUUAUUAUUCCAUUUAUAUCAUACAAUAAAAGAUUUUGUGUGAAUAAUCAAUAAUGGAGAUGUCAUUAUCUUCUUUAAACAAAAUUUCAGGUACUUUCUCAUAACAUAGAAGAAAUGUAAUAUUCUUUAACUACCCACUUAGUUAAUGAUCGUUAAUUAUGGAUUUUGUUAAUGUUGUUAAUUAAUUUCAAUUUUUUAUCUUGUUGUUUAUUCAACAUAUCAACCAAACCUUUCAAACCCUAAUUUAAUCAUGAUUUUAUGUUUUUUUUAACUUAAAUAUAUUUCUUUUAAUAAUAGUAAUUGAUUUGCAACUAAAUUAACUAUAUAAUCCAAAAUUUCUAAUCAUCUUUCAUUUUUAAAAAAAAUCUAAUUGUCUAGGUUAAAUCCAUGGGUUGGUGUAAUUAUAACCAUAUGAGAGUGGUUUGUUGUGAUGAUUAUGCAAGACUCAAAAGUAUAAUAACAAAUUUAAGAAUAAAAAACACUAUUUAAAAAGGUUCAUUUGCUAUAAUUUUUAUUAUUUGAUAUUUCUCACUUUUUAUUAUGUACUACAAUGUUUACUAUUCUAUUUUGGAACUAAAAUAAUAUACUACAAACAUGUAUUAUUAUAAUUCAAAUUAAAAUCAUUAAGGGUAACAUUCCAUUAUAAUUAUAUCUAUUUGUUUAUUAAAAAAAAGUGAAUUAAAUUUAAUAUAACAUUUUUUUAAAAAAGAAAUACAUGAAUUAGAUAAUGUUUGUGAAAAGUUUGAAAAAUAAUUGCUUAUAUAUAUACAUAUAUAUGAUAGGGGAAAAGGGUUAGAAAAACAAGUACUUGGAGAUUUGUGCAAAACAUAUAAAAUAGUGUGAAUGAACACUAAUAAAUAGGUCCAUUAUGGCUCGUCCUACUCAUAGCCUCUCACCCAAUCACAUAUGCCUUAAUCACCAUAAAGUAAAUGCGUUACAGCUAGCGAAUCACAUGACGUGGCUUUCCCAUUCUUAUCUCUUUCACUAUAUUUUCCUUAAUUAUAUAACUCUUCUCUUCUCUUUUUCCUUUUUCUUUUUUCUUUUUUCUUUUUUUCUCAUUCUUAAAAAUAUUUUUUUGUUUAGCCUUUAAAAUAGAUUCCUUCACAUCAAUCUAAAACACCAUAUUUUAUAAUUUUUUAUUAUUUACACAAUAAUUCUUUUUUAAUUAAAAUAUAGCUUAAUCAACUAUGUAUUCAUAUAUAUACAUGUAUUAACUAGGAGUAAAUUGAUUUCAAUUUUUCAUUUUACGGAAAAUUUAGAUAAUUGACCCAUUAUUAAUAUAAUAACAUUUUCACUGUGUUCUGUUUUUCUAUGUAUAUAAAAUUAAAAGAGUUGGUUGAAUCUGAUUUUAAAAAAUAUUAUAAUAGAUUUAGUUAAAUCUUAGAUUUUUUCUAGAGGAUGGAUUAAUUGUUGGAUAAAAUUUUGUUUCAAGCACUUUUAAGUUUUCAACACUUAAAAAUAGUUGGAUAAAAAAGAUAUGUAAAAGUUGGUGUGCUAUAGUUUACGGGGAGAUAAAUACUAUUUGCACUUAUAAUCUUAUUAUUUAUUCUAACUUAAGAGAUAAAUUAUAAUUAUUCACAAUUGCCACAUUGAGUUAAUUACAUAGUAAAGGGUGGAAAUUAUAUCUUUCAAUUUUUAUGUAUUUCAAAGAAAAGUCUAAAGAAAACAAUUGAUUUCUUGUUGAAUGGACAACAAGAUCAUUGGUACAUUUACUACUAAGUUUUUUAAUGUGUCAGUUUUUUCAACAAGAGAAAAAAGUCUUAUCUUAAAAACAAUAAAAAAAAAAAGUUGGUGCUUAGUUAGCAAGUAAGUAUCGUGGUCCAAAUAGUCACUCUUAAUGCAAUGGAUACAUAGGUAAAUUUUCAAUAGCAUUAAUGUAUUAAACAUCUAAUUGAUUAUGCAAUCUUUCUCAAAAGUAUAUUAAAAAAUAUAAUUAUUCUCAAUCAAUAUUUAAAUUAUCAUAUCAGUUUCAUGUGUAAUGAAAAGGCGUUAAAUUUUAUUUAAAUUUUGAAGUUGAUCUUAACGAGAUAAAAUUAAGAAAAACUAUUUCAACAAGUUCGCCAUCAGAGUCUAACCAUGUAAAUUUUUUCACCAUCUUCAACAACAAAUGAAUAGGAUAAAUAAACUGUAUUAAACUUUUUAAUUAGUACUAAUAACAUCGGUAGUAGAACUUAUAAGCAGAGUAGAAAAGAACAAAAAGAGCCAUUUCUAUGAUCAUAGUUACCUUAAAUUAAUUUUAUAUCCGUUAUAUCAUUUAAUUUAGUGUUUUCUUGGCUUUUUUUCUUUUUUCUGAUAAAUUUAUAAAUAUAAAUUUUGUCAUUAUUUUUCAAGAAAAAUUGUAAAUUAAAAUAUAUGUGUCCGUUAUGAUAUCUAACUUCAUCUUUCCUAGCUUCCAAAAUUAGGUAUCCAUCAUCGAAUCUUAUCUUUUGUUUUUCCAUGUUUAGCUUUUACAAAUUAUUAACUCCAUAUAGAUAAAUAAAUAAAAUAUAUAAAUUCAAGUUUUUUCAUUCUCGUAUAACUCAAAAUAAAUUGUAGAAAUUCAAUAUUUUCAACAUGAGAGGAUGUAUCCAAACAAACAUUAAGAUCUUUGACCAAAUAUUCUCACAAAAGUUUUACACAUCCAUAUCCUUAUCAAGAUAUCAUCAGCUAAAUAUUCUCAUGACUUUUACAAAACUACCCAUUACAAUCCAACUUCUAACAUCUAAAUAAACAAAAGUCUUACAAAAACUAUGAGAAGCUGUAAUGCAAAGUUGAACGCCCAUGCUUUACCAAAAUUAUAGUAUAUAUAAAUCAAAUCCAUCUCAUAACUCUAUAGGAUUUUGCUUGUUUAUCCAACUUAUAAAAUCUAAACAUAUAAGAAAUUAUUUGCAUUAUAUUAUAAAUUAGGAACGCACCUCAUAUAUAUUGGUUAUUGUUCUUCUGUUGUCAAUUGAUUUUGUGCAUAGAGUUUUCUAUUUUUUGAAAUGAUAUCAUAGCAUACAAAACAUGAAUGAAUAUACAAAUAAAGAAAAAGUUUAAAUCAUAGAAAAUUAAUUUCGAAUGGUAAGUUUUAUAUAGUUUUUUUUAAAGUAAAGAUUAAAAUAUUUGAGAACUAUUAAUUUUGUAUUGGAUAUGAAAAAGUUAUAGGUAGGUUCUACUAUUUGUUUCUCAUAGUAGUAUAAGUUAGACUUAUAUAGAACAAGACCGAGUCAACAUAAAUUAUAGCAAGUAUAAGUCUAUAGGUUAGACUAUUGAUUCAUGAAAUUAGAGAUUUAUAUCAAAUACAAGUCCCUAUAUUUUAAAAUUACACGAUUAAUUAUUUAACAUUUUAAACAUGAAUGUGGGGUUUUGUCACAUAACCUCCAAAGCUUAAGUCAAUAUUUAAUAAAGGGUGAUUGUAAACUAACAAAAGAACUUACCUAGAGUGAUGCUACUGACCCAUAUUUAUACAUGGUGGGUCCUAAGGUUUUCUAAUCCCUGAUUAGGUAGUGUUGGAAUUGAUAAAGGUGAGUAUAACAUUGUGUGACCCUUGGAAAGUGGGCCUCCAUGAAUAGAAAAGAGUAAUCUGUCAAUAGUUGAAACAAGUAGGUAAUUUGAGUGAUGGACCUAAGGUGACAUUGGGCUAAACCUUGGAGGUUGAGGAAGGCACCUUAAGUUGGUGAGCCUAAUUUUCUCAGUUUUCUCAAUCUGUUUGUCCCUCUAUCUAUUUCUGAAGAAUGAAGGCAAGUGUAGUAGGUUGAUUAGAAGUGAACGCAAAUGAGUAGCAUUGUUUUAAAAAGUGGAUGGUUUGAUGUAGAAUUAAAAAAACAAUAGAAAGAGUAUGAAUGAUGGAAGAAGUAUAAAAUGGAAAACGUGGGGGAAAGAGAAAAAGGAGAGAAAGGCAGCGUAGAAGAAGAUGAUGUUUGAAACGUCCACAGAGAGAGAGAGGUAGUAAAAUUUGGUCGGAAAGUUAAUAUUUUGAUAAUAAAUUAAUGGAAGAAGAAAAACGAAAUAAAAUAAACGUGCUACAAUGGGGUGGUCCCCACUCCCCACAUAUCUUUCUACGUCAUCUUUUUCGAAUUUGUGCAAAUAUAAUGGACCCACCACCCCCUUAAAUAAACAAAUAAUAGAAAAAAAAAAGUCAAAACGGUUUCGCUUGCCAAUACCGACCUCCGUACAUGUGCGACGAAGCCUCCUCCACACUUCCCUUCCCACGUGCCAUCUCUUACCGACCAAAUAUUCCAAAUCUUAUACCUAUUAUAAAAAUAUCAAAUCUUCAUAAACACACAUCUCUCUACAUUUGGAGUUCGCCCAUUCAUAAGUUUAUGAACUAAUUAUUGUUCCUUCAAAUCCAACCUAAUUUUAUUAUCAAUCCCAUACACAACACCAAUAUUAUAACUCUAACUUUAACAAAUUUUUAAUUAAAAAUAAAUCUAAAUUAUGCAUCUCCAUCUCAACUCAAAUCCUUUAACCAAUACACAAGUUUUAACUUGUGUCCAUCAAUUUUGCUAUCCUCACUACUAUAACUUUUUAACUAACAUUUCAACAAUUUCAACUUUCAAUUUUCCUCAAUCAAAUCCUUUCUCUUUCUUGUUUCCAGACUUAAAAUUAUCUCAAUUAAACAUCAAUCAUCUUGUAUCUGUUGUUUAAUUAAUAAUAGUUGAUACAUCAAUUUUAAUAAUUAACCUUUUUGAUGAGAUUCAAAGUCUAAACAAGUAUGCCCAAAUUAUUAGCGAUGAAUGGAAGAAUAAUCAUUCAGUCACUUAUAAAAAUUUAUUAAUAAUUUUUCGUUAAUUGAAAUUGGCUUCUUUUGAAUUUUAUGAUAAAAUAAGUGACGCUUUUUAAAAAAGGAAAAUUUUAUCAAAUUCUAACUUUAUUUUUUUCUUUGUUUUGUUUUUACUAUUCAUAAUAAUUCAAAGUAUUUUUGGUUUUGUAAAACUAAUUGUAAAUAAGCUAUCUCUUGAAUCUAUGUCCAUAUGGAUAAAAUGAAGGGGAAUGUUGCUAACUCAAACCAAAUGAUAAAUAUGAUAAAAGGUUGGGUUGAGAGAGAUGCCAUAUAAUAAUUAAAUACACUAAGUAACUGAUUUCCCAUCGAUUGUUGUAUACUAUACAAUAAAGUUCAAAUUAAAAACUGUAAAAUAUUAUAAAGACGUCAAUGAGUAGUUGAGGUAAAAUUUUGAAUACCAUUGUUAUGAAACAAUUAUUCUUUAUACAUAGACUGCAAUAAUUGUCGUAGUAUAAAAAUAACAACUAAUUUUAAUAGAAUUACUCCAAUUUUGUACCACUUUUCAAAAUUUGAUUUCAAGUCAACUUAAUAUAAACUCAAAACCAAGAGUUUUAACAGAAUUCAACCCCUCCAAAAUAGAAUUGUUCCCUUGUGUGCUGUUUGGCUUGGCAGUGGAUAUUGAUUUUCCACUUUAAAGGGGUGCACGUGAGUCCCUUCAUUUUAAUCCAAGACGAGAUUAAAAAAACAUACUUGAUCCUUAUAUCUUCGUAAUAUAAAUAUCUUCAUUUUAAUCGUUGUAUGACUUUUUUCUAUUUUAGAGGUGACUUCAAUUAUUUGAAAUUCAAAUUAAAACACACGUGUACAUGAAAUGUUAAAUUCGAGAGCCAACAAAUUCAAAGAACGCACCAACUUAAGAAAUUUGUACUAAAUAUAAUAUAAAAAAUUGUUAAACAAGAAAGAAAGAAUACAAUGUUGAAUUUGUAUAGAAAAAAUAAAAAGUAAAAUGGAAUGUUUAGAGAAAUCCAAAUGGAGUAAAUAGAAAGAAUAAAAGAAAGCAGAUGUGUGGUGGUGGUUGAUGGCUGUUUAAGAUCCGAGGAGAUAAUUGGAGUAUUUAAUAUUUAUUAUAUUUGAUUAGAAUAUUAAGAAAAUAAAAAACAAAGGGGGGGUGAGAAAUGCGAAACAUAUCCCUGGUAGUUAGAAUUACUUUAUUGUCCUCGUGGGCGUGGGGGAGGGGAAGCAAAUGAAAAUGGCAAACAUAACCCUGGUAGUUGGAAUUACUUUAUUGUCCUCGCGUGGUUGCUGUGCCCGCCUAAGAGGGCGCAAAGCCGCACGUGGGUACUCUGUACGGUUGAGCAGAACACGUGAGAGAGUUGUUAAGAAGCACGUGUCAAAGGCAUUAAAUAUCAAAAUAUUUUAUUAUCUUUUUUUAUAAAUAGAAAAUGAGAAAGGGAAAGUGGGGGUUCAGUAGUUAGGAGGUUUUCCAGCUGUGGUGCCCCCUUGUUACCCUUACAAAACUAAUUACUUGGAUUCUCCGCAUCUCUUUUUUGCCUUUCUUUUUUUAGCCCACAUCCUUUUCCUAUCUUUUUCUUCUUUCUUUUAAUUUGUAUUUAAAUACCAAUUCAUUUACUCUUAAAUGCUGCUUAUUUACUUCAUUCAUUCAUUAAUAAUAUUAUAAUAUAAUACAAUUGAAGUCACACUAAUACUAAUAUGGAAGUACAAGUUAAACCAUAUCAACUUUUAUUUUACCAAUUCAUUUGAAUUGAAUACUUACCUACUCUUACUGGACCACCACCUACAUAUAUACUCUUCAUUUUGUAGCUAACUCAAAUUAUAAAAUAUUAAAAACUGAGAUAUGUGUUCUUCACUACUACAAUGAAACAUAUUGCUUUUUAUACCUUCCUCCCUUCUUUCUUUCUCUUUUUUUUCUUACUUUACAUAUUUUAUUACAAAAUGUGUGCCAUAAAUUCUGUUCAAAUUACUGAAUAAAAUUAAUCAGUUAAACCCACCUCCUAUCUUUUUCUACUAAUCCAAAGUUUUUGAAACACUGCCAUUUUAUUUGUGAUUUAAAUAUGUAAUACUAACUACAAACUUUUUUUUUUUUUUUGAUUUUGUAUUAUAACAUCAUUACUUAAUUCAUUUUCAUUACACGACUUUAGUCGCUAAAAUAUAUGUCACACCUUAACUGAUAUAAAAUAACGAUAUUGAAUAGUGUGAGAUAUAUAUAGUAACGUAGAAACAUAAUACACUGACAAUUUACAAUUUAAUUUUAGUCAUUUAUAUACUUUAAAUGAAUCUUAGAUUAGAUUUAAUAGAACUUUUGAAUUAAACAAUACAAAAGUUUUUAAAUAUAUCAUAUUUUUUUCUGCAUGAAAGUUAUUAUUAUGCAAUUAAUUUUGGUUAAAAUUUAUUUGGAAGGAUUAAACUUAAGAUUUAUUAAAAUUAAAGAUUAAUACAAUUUAUGAUUGCAAUUUCUUUCCUAAGUAGAGUUUUGACCAAAGCAGUUGUCGUUUCUCACUUGAGAGUAAUCGAUACAAAAUUUCAACAAUAAAUAAUCCUCGAGUCACGUAUAUUAAUAAAAUACAAAAAAUUAUAUCAUUAAUAUCAACAUGCUAAUUAAUACAAACAUACAUUUGUGGACAGUUUUUUACACAUUUCUUUACUUAAAAAUUUAUCUAAUAUUUUACUUAAAGAAAAAAGGAAGAUUUAUCUGUCCUUUUCUUCAUUCACUCACCUUCACAUUUAAAAAAGAAAAAAGAAAUAGUAAGCAGAGAAAUAUAGAUUUAUUUUCGUUAAUUUUGUACACCACAAAACCAAUAUAAGUAGUAAAUUUGCAUAGUGUGAUUGAGAUGGGAAAAAAAAGGUGCUUUGAAAUUUAACCAAAAUAUGUAUCUUUGAUGUUAAUUUAAAUUUUAUUUUCCCUAUAAUUAAUGCUUUAUCUUAAUAAAUGAGUACUUUGGUGAUGCUUACUGCUACUGACCUAAACUACCAUAUUAAUUAUUUAUAUACAAUUUUCAAACUAAUUUUUAACUUCACAUGAUAUUAUUUACAACAUUACGUACUAUAUUGCCAAAAAUGAAAAAUAAAAUGUAAAAUUUAUAAUCAUGCUCAAUAUCUUGAGUUUUUUUUUAGGACAACGUCCAUAAAUAAGUGAAUUUUAAAAGAGAUCUAUUUUGUUUAAUUUGAGAAGUAGAAAAUUUAUAUGGAAUGUUUGUGGUAAGAAUUAUUAAAGACUAUUGUUAUAGAAAAGGUUAUUAUGUAGUUCUUAACAAACAAUAUCAAUAUUAUUAUAUAGUAUAGAGUUGAUUCUUGGAAAACAUUAUUUUGUAAUUUUCAAUAGAGUAAAUCAAUAUUAUUCAGUAUAGACUGAAAAUACAAAACUGCAAUAUGUUGCUUGAAAAGUAGAGCAUAUGUUAAUAUGUUGAUUUGGAAAAUAAUAAAAAAGAAAUGAAAAAAGGGUGAGGUUAGGGAAAUGGGAAGGCAGGGGGGGUUUAGUGGAGAAAAGAGGAGGAGAGGUAAAGUGUAAAGGGAAAAAAAAAAAGAAGGUCCGGUAAGGUAGAAAAGGAAAGAUAUAUAUUAUGAUCACCGGCGGGUGUCGGUGGGAUUAAAAAAAAAAAAAAGAAAAGAAAAGAGUUAGGGAAAGUUAGUUAAGUACGUGGAGGUGGGAGAGUGGUUGAGGUCAGGGGUUACAGGCUGUACUGACACAAAUGCAGAAAUAAUUAUUCGUUCCCCGAUUCGGCGUCCGUAAUUGUCGUUUUCUGCCACAUCAUCAUAUCUUCUUUUUUUUUUUUUCUUUUCUUUUCUACAUAAAUAAAAUAGACAGCCUGGCAAUAUCAGUCAAAGUGGGGAACGAUAGUCACACACCUUCUUUCUUCUUUCUUCUUUCUUCUUUCACCCACCCCUCCCUCCCUCUCUCUCUCCCUUUUUUCUUCGCUCUCAAGUUUCUCUCUUCUUAACCCUUCUUUCUAUACAUAAAAUAGCUUCUUCUUUUUCUUUUCUUUUUUCAUUUAAUCUGUUUAAUUAACAUUGUCAAUUAAACAUCUAAAACUUUUCAAUAAAUUAAAUAUUUUAAAAUUUUAAAACAAAUGCAAACAUCUAUGUGAUUUUUAUAUAUUUUUUGAAUUUUAGAACAAGCUAUAAAUUGAUACCUUUAUGAAAAUUGGAAGUUUUGAUAUAUAAAUGUAACCUUCCCAAGUGAAAAGGAUAUAGAUUUUAUAAAUGCUAUGUCAAUUUAUACUACAGAAGCAUUUGCAGUUUGUACUUUUAGUUAUAAUUUUCUCUAAUUUGUUAACUCGUUUUUUAAAAAUUGAAAUUUUCAUUAAUAUAAUAAAAGUUUACUUGACUAAUGAACAUAUGUAUAUUCAAUAACUUUACUAUAAUGUAUAAAUUGUAACAGAAAAUAGGUGUUAUUAAGGUGGUUUUUCUUCAAUAGUUAUUCAAUUUAGAAUCCAAAUAGAUAGAAUAGAUAUAGAUAUUAGGUUAUUAUUGAUAUUAUUUCCUAGAAAGCACUAAGCAUCUUGAGAUUAAUAUAUAUGAUCUAGCAUUGUACUUCAACCACCCAGUAGAUUUUAUUCCACAGCAUGUAAAUUAUUAAAGUUGGUGGUGAAUAACACAUUCUUGGAAACAUGGGCAUUCAGCUAAUUAAAGAAAAACACUAAUAUAAUUUACAUUUUACUUUUAUUUAUUCACUUCAAAGUUGAACUAACUUUAAAUAAUUAUAAUAAUAGAAAAAAACACAAAAUAAUUUAAUGAAUGAAUUAAAAAAAUUGAAUAUAAAAAUGCAAAGACGGUAUGGGGUUUCACUGUUUGUUUGUGUAAGUCAUAGUGCGAAUGCGAACACUGCUGCUUUGGAUCAUACUCUUUAUUGAAUAUUAUUAUUAUUAUUUAGACCAUGAAAAUAAUAUGUGGUUUUCUCCUUUUUACUAUUUUUGUUUUCAUUUGGUUUAUAUUAUUUUGAAAUAAACAUUAUAAAAAUAUGGGUAGAUAUUUUAAUAUUUGUGAAUAGUAUGAUAAGAGAUAUCAUGAGUUCCUUCUAGAAUGCAUAUUCACCCUCAUCUUCCUUUAGUUUUCACUAUUGCUCCUGUCCACAAUAAUAAACAUUUAGAGACAUUCACUACCUCAGGAUGCAACAACACUAUAAAUAUUUCAAAAUUUAUUCUAAACAAUUAAUUUGUUAUACACAUUUUUCAUAUUCUAUUAAUAAUAAACAUUUAUUACUAUGUAGAUACAUAUUUUUUUUUUCAUUUUAAUACAUUUUAGUUCAUCUUACUAUAUUAAAAAAUAUUUCAAAAUAUAUGGUGUGUAGAUUUUUAAUUUAAUUUUAAAAGAUAUAUAGAGCACAUUACACACUCCCCCAAGUGUUACAAUCUAGAAGAGUAUAAAAUAAGAGAGGAAUUUGCUGUUGGCUACUUUAAUAUAUAACUCAACUGCUAUUUUUAGUUUUUAGCAUUUGAAACUUUAGUAAUAUUAAUUUGGUUUAUUUCCUUUCUGUCUACCUGUGUUAGGAUUCUUUUUUUAAGAAAUCAAAAUCAAAUUUUGAAGCAUAAAAGAAAUUAAACCUUGUUUAACAAAAAUUUUGAUUUUAGUUUUAUACUUUUAGAAUCUACUAUUGGCUUUUCUCAAUUAAAAAAAUCCAACUUUUAAAUAAUCAUAGGUUGGUUUGGAAUACAUUUUUCAAGUUUUUAACUUAAAAAAUAAAAUAUAAUUUUUAAAAAAUUGAAGUAUUUAACCAUCAGUUAGAAUAAUUCUUAUACUGUUAGUCAUUUUCUAAAAUUAAGUCUACUAAUGCAACAGUAAGGUUUAGAAGUUUAUAAAUUCAAAUUAAAAAUUUAAGAACUUUAAAAAAAAGUUUACAAAACUUAUUUUUUCCUUUUUUUUUUUAAGAACGGACUAAAAAAAUCAAAUGUUUACUUGUAAAUAUGAAAACCACGUUGAAAAGUUGAGAUAUAGAAUAGCAGUUAUUAAAAGAAGACUUUUUUUUCUUCAAACGUUGACUUGUUUAAAAUGAUGAAAUUUUUUGAAGGAGCAAAAAAACAUGAAAACUUAAGGGAAGAGUGUAAGUAGUUAUUAUAAUAAUAAUAAUAAAAAAAACUAAAAACAAAAUUAUUAUUAAAACCUUAAUUUAAUUUUUUUUUAUUUUUCUUUUUAUAGAAUUUGAUAGGAAUUGAAAUAUUUAUUUAUGAAAGGUUGCAAGAAAACUAUAUUAAAAGUAACAUACUUUUUAAAAAUAAAAAAUAAAAACCAAAACUAAAUAGAUUUAUCGUAUGAGGUUGUAUUAAAACGUACACACAACAUUACUUGAAGGUUUGAUGUUAUUAAUAAUUUGUAUAAUAAGUUUUAGAAAUUAAAUAUUGGGUGAGAAAAAUUAACUUUACCUUUGUAUCAAAUUUUCACUCUAAAACUUUAAAGUUCAAUAAAUGAACCAAUUUACUUAUAAUAUUGUAUAGUUCCUUGCACAUUUAGGUUGAUUGGUAUGCAUAAAAAAUGACAAAUUUGGUGAAAAUGGAAGUCUAAAGUUAAAAGAUGUUAUAGGGCAAAAUUUUGUUUUUCUUUCUUCAUUUAUUUACAUUUUACUUAAUAGUUUAGAUUUUUGUGACAAUCAAAUUCUACAAAAACAUCAAAUUUGGUAAAGUAGUAAAAAUAUGAGAAUACAAAUGAGAAUCAGAAUAUAUAUACGGUUGAAAGUAAAAGAGAGGGGUUGGGUUGGGUUGGGUUGGCCGGUGAUCAAAAUUGAAAAUAGGAGGGAGGUGAAACGACGAGGGUUGAGGUGGCAAGCAGGAUUAGACACACGUGGAAUGAAGAAGAAGGGAGAAAAAGAAAAGUGGACGGUGAGGAUAGAAUGUAAAAAGGUGUUAAUUAUUGGAGGGCGGAGGCAGAGAAAGAGUUGGGAGGUGAAGCUGGUGUGCUGCGGAGCGUGAGGAACACGCUCCUCCAAUGACCCUUUUCUUUUUAUUAAUCUUUUCAAAUUUCAAAUUUUUUAUUUUGCUUUUCUUUUUUUUUUCCAGAAAGAAAAUGAAAAACAAAAAAAAAGUGAUUUUUGUUAUAAAAAUGAAUGCAGGUAAAAACACGACGCGUGUUGAAAGCCAGCUGUAUCGCAACCGCAACGUCCAACCGCUUACUUGGGAGAAGCGGUGCCACUUACCGGAACGUUUGUCAUUUCCAUUUAAACCAGCCCACCGGCUGAGUAAGUUGCCCGUUUCAUCUCUUUUAUAAGAACCCCUAUACCCUUCCCUCACCCUGCUCCAUUAACCCUACACAAAACUCCACCAUAACUCCCACCUCCUCCCCAACCCCAUUCAAAAUUCCCAUUUUCAUAACGUUUAACCCCCCCCCCAAUCUCAUACUCUCUUUUACCAUUUCCCCAAUUUUGAUGUUCUUUUAGACCCUUCUCUUCUUCAAUUCUUCAUGGCGCUUACCCGUAAAGACAUGGAUCGGAUCAAGGGUCCAUGGAGCCCUGAGGAAGACGAUGCCCUUCAGAGAUUGGUUCAGAAGCAUGGCCCACGCAACUGGUCUCUCAUCAGCAAAUCCAUUCCUGGCCGUUCUGGUAAGUCCUGCCGCCUCCGCUGGUGCAAUCAGCUCUCUCCUCAGGUCGAGCACCGCCCCUUCUCCCCGGAGGAGGAUGAGACUAUUAUCAGAGCUCAUGCUAACUUCGGUAACAGAUGGGCUACUAUUGCUCGCCUUCUCACGGGUCGGACGGAUAACGCUGUCAAGAACCACUGGAAUUCCACGCUAAAGCGAAAGUGUUCGUUGAUGAUGAAUGAGGGAUAUGAAGUCGAUCCGAACGUACAACCUAUGAAGAAGUCAGUCAGCGCCGGCGCUGCCGUCAACGCUUCGAACGGACUCUACAUGAGCCCUGGAAGUCCAUCGGGAUCUGACAUAAGUGAUUCAAGUGUUCCUGUUGUAUCUCCAACCGUCUACCGCCCUGUUGCCAGAACAGGCGGCGUUAUACCUCCAGGAGAAUCAGCGCCGUCUUCCGCCACCGACCCGCCGACGUCGCUGUCUUUAUCUCUCCCUGGAGUCGACAGCUCGAGACACAGCGGAAGUGGGUCAACGGCGCAGGUACCUCUAAUGGCGGCAUUUGCUCAAAUACAGAGCAUGACGACAACAGAGCAGGUUAGAACGGCGCAGCCCAGUGGUGGGGCGGGUGAGAAAAUAAAUGGGUUUGGAGUUUUCAGCGCAGAUUUAAUGGCGGUGAUGCAAGAGAUGAUAAAAUCAGAAGUGAAAAGCUAUAUGGAAGGGUUAUCGGAGCAGAGAGGAAGAAGAUGUUUUCAAGAAGCUAAAGCUGGUGGGAUUAAGAACGUUAGCUUUUAAGAAAAACUGUGAUUCAUCAUCAAGAUUACAACUCUUUAAAACGAAAAUUGUUAAUUAGAAUUUGGAGGGGAAAUUAGAAGAAUGAUGAUUACCAGUUAGUUACGAUUCAUUCUCGAGGUUCGAAAGAGAUAGAGAGAAUGAGAAAACACAGUAACAUAAAUGUGUUUUAGUAUGGGAAGAACAAAGAAGGAACAAAAUCUGGGAAUUUGGUGGUUUGGUUUCUUUCCAAUUUUAAACUCUUUUUAAUUGUAGUUUCUGAAGGAAAUAAUAAUCUAGUGAAUGUACAUAGAAAGAAAAGGGAGGGAAGUUUCCACUUCCAUUACAAAACAAGGGAAGUUGAACAAAGGAAUAGAGGUAAAGUUGGGAAGAAAUAUGAAUGAAUAUGAUGGACCCCUAAAACUGGAAAAAAAGUUUGGACUUUUGAAACUAUUACAACACUUACCUUUCAUUCUUGACGUUAUUUGUCUCUCAUUUUAAAGACCAUAUUAUCAUAUUGAGGAAAAAAAAUUCAUAUAAGAACAAACCAAAUCAAAAGUGCAGCAUAACAUCAAUACUUGGGGUUUUAAAUUGGAUGUUACAAUUUCUAUCUAUAUAUUUCUAUUUUUCCUCUGAUUUUCAGUUUGAAAAUGGAGAAUGGCCACAACCACACAAGGGAUAUUUUUGAAUCAAUUACUAAAUAAUAAAAUUUCAAUGGGAGAGUUCCUGAAUGGAUAUUCCUUUUAUUUAUUAUUAUUAUUAUUUUUUAAAAAAAGGAUUUUUUUGAGUGACAAAUGGAUAUUCUUUUUGAAGUCUAAUUGGAUAUAAGGUGGUGUGGAAUCUUCUUUUUAGUUGAAGGCAAUCCUGUUAGGGAUAAUAUAUUUAUUUUAGAAAAUCAUUAAAUUCCCACUUCGAGAGAUGUGUUAUUAUGAAUUUUCCUGGAGAAGUCCAUUCCAAAAUUAAGACUUUUUUGCUUUUGGAUAAGUUUUUGAAGUAUUAUAUUUCUUGAAAACUUCUUUCUUUUUCUCCUACCGUUGAAUGCAGAUGAGAAUUUGGAAUACAAUUUCUUGCAAAACAAUGAAGACUGCUUCAUUGUUUGAAAAUAAUGUCAUCAAGUCUUUAUGGAGUGUCAUAAGAGGUGAACUUUUUCCGCACAAUAACCUUUAAAAUUAGAGAUUCAAAUUCAAGUAUUCAAAUUCACAUACGUGAAAAUUGCUGAUAAAAGGGGCAAAAAGGAUGAACCAAAACACUACAUUCAUCAAAAGCUUAAAUUAGAGGCCAACUUUGAAAUAUACCAAAUUUUGCCACUUGGUUUGUUUCCAACUCCAUAUCUUCUUUUACAAAUAUCUCACUUCCAGAAUAUAUCCUGAAUUUAACUUUUAAAUUUUUAUUAGGUUUUUAAUUUGUAAAAAGAAAACCUUAAAAGUCUAUGGUGGCAGAGGUAAUUAUAAUUUUAUUUUUUAGGUCUACAGAUUUCUUCCAACUUUUACAGUUACAAGUUUUACCAGUUCCAAUAUUAACAUUUAAAUUAACCAGAAAUUGGACCUUUAUGAAUAGAAGAUAUAAAUACAAACUAUCUAUUUGGGAAUGAUUUUGACUUCUGCCUCUAUUUUUCUUAUCUAUCAAGUUACUCUCUAUAAAAAAUCGCACUCACAAAUAUCAUCUUAAUCUAUUUGUUUCUUACUAAAUUAUACCAACGAGAGCAUAAUAACCAUAAAACUUGUAAUUCAAAUUUCCCUACAACAAUUUUUGUACUAAAAAAUAAAAUUAAUUGUCCAAUUAACCAUGGGUUCCCGUUUUAAAACAUAAAAUUAAUAUGCUUUAGGAAUUUCCUUUCGCACCCCUUUUAUUGACUCCAUCCAUUUUCUCGUCUUAGGCUUCAUUUCCUUUGCACUCAAAUCUUUUCAGUCAACAGCGUAUUUAGUUCUUCCAUUAAAAAAAAAAAAUUUGAGAACUUCUUAAGGAAUUAGUUUAUUUCAUUUCAAGUUCUGUGAAGGUUUCUUUAAUUAAUUUCAUUAAUCACCUUUUCAUUUCAAAUGUUGCAAGUUUUAUGUUUUAAUUAUAUUGUGAACAACAAAUAAUAUAUAUGUAUACACUUUUAUACAUACCAUUGUCUCUAUUACAUACCUUUGCAUAUGUAGACUUACACAAGUAUUCACCUCCACAUUUAGUGCAAUAUAUGUAAAGAUGAUGAUGCAUCUUUUUAUAAAUAUAUCCUUUACAUAUUCAUAUAUCAGUACGCUUUUAAUGGCGAACUUAAAAUAUAUUCCUUGUUUGAUUUAUUGUAAUAUACCAAACUACAUGCAUGUAAUUGAGUUUAUCUAUGUAAAUAACCCUAAAAUACCACCAUACCAAAGCUCACAAAAAAGAUGGAAAUGCUCUUAUGAUCAAAGCAAUCUCCUAGUAAAUAAUAAAUAAAUAAAUAAACAAAAACUUUCUUGGAGUCCUAUUCAACAUUCUAAAAAUAACAUAAAGUUUUUUGGCUCAGAGCCACUUGGUGGUCACAUUACGAACCUUUUCAAACAUAAUGGUUGUACCUAAGAAACUUCAUAAAGAAAGAAUGACAAGGUCUAUACUAAAUUUGCUAAUUUAGCUUACAUCAUUUCUUCAACAGCACACAGUUUUCCAAUGUUGAGACUGAACAAAAAUUACACAAUAAUAUUCUUACCAUAUAAAACAAGAUGACCUUGAGGGAUCCAGCAAUAUGUGGUCAAUCACUAUCAAAUUUUGUACCCUGUGUUCAACUUUAUAGCGUCAUUGUAAAGUACGAAAACUAACCACAUUUAUUAUUGAGCACACGGUAUACCAACAUUAUUUAAGAAUGUGUAAGGUCUAACAAAGUAUUUUUCCAAAAAAAAAAAAGACUACGAAGAAAAAUUUAUAACGUAAACAAAAGAAGUUUACUCUAGUACUAAAAAUCAUCCUACAUAAAUAUGGUCAAAUGUAUGUGAAAUUCACUUUUUUUAAUUCUAAUGGAAGAGGAUCACUUUUCUUAAUUCUAAUCGAAGAGGAAAAGUCUAUGCAUCAAUUAUUAUAUAUCUAUUCCAAUGUUCACACUUUAAAGUAGGGCAAUUUAACCAAAGCAAUAAAACUAUAUAAAUUGCGGGUUAGGUACUUGAGCACUUUAAAGAACCACACUCCAAAAGUCAAUUAUUGGGAUGGGAGAGCCAAGCCACUUAAGUACCAUGUUGGUCCUUCCAUUCUAAUCAACGUGGAAUAAAGACAUCCCAUACUAGUUUGAUUCCUAAUACUACAUCAGCUAAAUUAACAUGGAACAUAAGUUGAAAAGAUGUAAGUUUGUACAUAGGGUCGAUUCAAGAAAAUUAAGGAUAGCAUCAAAUAAAUGACAGAAAUAUAACUGACUCACAGUGAAGCAGCAGAGUCAUUGAAUAUUUAUGCAUGAUUUGCAAAUUGUUCUCUCCCAUGAAACGACAAGAACUUGAAACUUUAUGAAACUGAUUCCACUAUGACUUGUGGGUUCUCUACAGUGUACCUGGUCUUUCUUAUUUCCCUUUCAUCCUUUUCGACAAUCUUACCAUUUGCGUAACUACAUCACAAACUGGUCACAUUCUCAGUCCACAACUCAUAAAGGCAAUCAAUUAUAGUGUUUGUGCAAAUAACCAGCCUUAAUAUAUAAAGAAAAGUUGCAUAAAGUAACAAAUAGUGACAGAAAGCAAGGUUUCUAAUUGAAGAAGCCCAACCCGACUAAAUAUCAACGAAUUCAAAAGUAUUUCAUUGUAACGCAUAGAAAUAAAUAAAUUACCAAAGAACAAUAAACAAUUAAAUCAUUCAAACCAAUGAAAAAUGCACUCACAAAAAACAUCCAAAAGAGGAAGUGAAAUUUUUAAAGACACUGAAAAGCGAACCAGAAAACCAACACCCAGAACUAAAUACUAAAAGUUAAGUAAUGAUCAUAGUUAGUGAACAAGUAAAAGCAACAAAGUGGCAAAGAUAAAUUGAAAGGUUACAAGAAUUCAUUCACAAGACAGUUCCUGAUCGAAUUUCAAUACAAUUUAAGCAUUCAUUUCGACCUCUUCACAUAAGCUUGCAAUUGGGACUACUUAACUCUUCUAAAAAAAAGAUGAUGGCGGUUGAGCUACUCAACAAGUAGAAAUCUUAAAUGGACAGUGCAUGCACCAUACCACUAUCAAUUAAAAUGAACAAAUUAUUCUUUAAUAAGAAACAGAUGGACGGAAAAAAAAAGGAAGGAAAAUGGCUUGUACAGUUACAACAAGAGGAUUGAUUUGACAAUCCAAGGCAGCAUGCAUCAUAAAAAUCUGCUGCCUCCACGCCAGACUAUGAAUUGCAAGCAUGAAGGCGUACAUGCCAUGUAAUAAGGAUUUGCUUCAGUCAUUCUUGCUCUUACCCUUUCCCUCAGUUCCUUUACAGCCCUCAUAUGCCGAGACAAAGAAAGUACUCUGAUUCUUCUGCAGGAAUCUACAUCAUUCAAGAUAAAAUUGAAUCAAGCUUCGCCAGGAUAAUAAACAACCGCAAUAACUCAAUUUAUUAGUUCCUAGCAUUCAUUCCAAAGGAACAUGAAACAAAGAAAUCUAGAAAAGUUGGUACAUGUUCAUAAAAGUUAAAAAUGAAAGAUGGUAUAGAUUAUAAAGAUAAAACUACGAUUUGAGAGCAGGCACGUGCUACUAUAACUUCUCACUGUUCUAACACAUUCCAAAAAGUAAAUUCAGUGUCAACAUUUCUAAGGUUUGAGAUGAUACUUCAGAAAGUCGAGCAACUUCUGGUGUAGCCGGAUCUGUGUUUCAUCUUCAAUAUUCACAUAUGCCAAAAGCUCUGGCAACUUAACUGUAAAAACAAUAAACAAACUAAACAAAUAAGACAUAUAAAAUAUGGAGUUCAGGGGUGUCAUCAUUUCCUAAAAAAAGGUGGAGUUCAGAUUGAACAUUAUGGAGAAUUGGAAACUGACUAAUACAAGGAUAAGGAUGUGACUUGGCAUACCAAAGAGUCGAAGGAGAUGUUCUGCACCAUAUACAGUUGACGGAGAGACAUCAUCUACGACUAAUUUAUGAUACUGAUCACGUUCUUUAUUGUACAAGAGCAGUACAGGCAGUGCUUUAUCAAAAUAACAUCGUAUUCCUUUCAAGACUUCUCCCAGCGAGUCAGUAAUCCUAUAUUAAUGAAGAAUAAAAAGUAACAGUCAAGUCUUAAAAGUAUAGGCACGAGCAAUUCCUCAGAUGUCAUCUGAACUGUUAGCACUGACCACUGAGGUAUGUUUGGGAAUAUUAAGGGAUCUAAAUUUUACGGCUGAGUUUUUAAUUGUCACGUACUAGAACUGCUAUGAAAGGAUGAAGAAUUUUAUGAAUUAUGAAGUGUUUUAGAAGAUGUCUAUUAAGUGAUAUAACAGGGAUAAUAAAAAUAAAUCUAGCUUCUCCAAUGAUCCUUCUAUUGAACACCCUCUAAAAAAAUAAAAAAGUCUACAAAAACCAUUCACUUCCUCUUCCUAAAGUAAAGGUUUCUCCUCAUUGUGUCUCCAGGGGCUAGGGCCUUCCACCUAAAGGAAGUCUGACACAUCAACUUUAUUUUCAUAGCCUUAAACCAAACAGCACCAAACAGCACCAAAAAUGCUACAAAUGGAAGCUAAAAACAUUUAUAUGAACAAUUUGGAUUACCGUAAGUACGAAAAUAUAAAAAGAUAAAAAUUUUCCAGGGAGUUUCCCCUGGGCCUGUCAACUUCAGACAGCGUUCAGCAGUCAACCAUUUAACAAAAUUUAUUAAGUAGUUUAAAACACAUAGUCAUGAACACAAUUCAGACACUCAAAACUAUGAUCAGAUUUAUGUCAUUUAGUAUUUUAGUAAGGUAUCAGCUAACUUACGUGCCAUCCCUCUUGGAUCUGUAUUCCAAGUACUUUGUCAAAAUAUCAUCAACGGUUGGUGAGCGUGGAAGUUUGACCAACUGGCAGAAUCAGCAGGAAAAUCAAUAUGCUAACUAGAUGGAUGCAUGAAUAACUUAGGUAGUAAGUCUCUAAUCCAUUCACAUGACAGUGAUAAAUGCUUGAAAGAGUCGAUCUAUCAAACUAAACAUCAACUUAAAAUUGGAUAAUUGAAAGGAAAAUAAGUUAUUAAAGAUCAUAUAAUUUGCAUCAACGAAAAAACCCAACUAUAUCCACUUUCAACAAAAAUUUGGGGCCUAGUUUAUUGCAAAAGAAAUAAAAUAGACAAAAAAAAGUACCCUCUUAACAACAUGGAACCUUUAGAACAGAACUUGAAGAAUGCAUGGUAUAAUCACAAUUGUUCAGUGUUAUGCGCAAGGAAAUUUUCUUAACCAUUUCAUCAAUUGUUUGAGUUUCACCAUCCAAUACCUUCUGACAACCAAGUAACACACUAUUAUUUAGAGUCCACUUUCGUUAGACAAUGCAAUUUUGAUGAAAUGAGAUACAUAAGGAGUUUCUAUUGAGUAAUGAUUGCAAAAAACACUGCUGAUUAGUGAUGAUGUUUAGGUUAGAAUUACAAAAAGGAGGAAACAAUUUACUCCUAGUAAGAGGUUGAAAGAGAUAUGGAGAACAAACAGUUGAUAUGUACCUUAUCCUGCUGUGUAACAAAUUCCCAAUCAUCAACAAGUUGCUUUCUUAGUGUUGAAGGUAUUUGAAUCUUGAUAACUUUCUCUACGGAUUGAUUGUCCUUUCGAAGACCAUGGAACCAUGUUUUAUCAAAUAUAAUGGCAAGAAAACGAGCGUAGGGUAAAUGAUGAGCAAUUAACAACAUGAUAUACUAAAAUCUGUUAGAAUUACAGAUAAAUUAUAUUUAUACCCACACACAGCACAUGUACAAUGAACAUGGAUAUAUAAAAGUUCAGUAUUAAAUCUAUAGUUCAUGAAGGAAAGGGAAGGAAUAAACCUAAACUACUUUUUAUUCAAGUUAAUGAUGAGCAAUUAAUGACAUGAUAUACUAAAAGCUGUUAGCAUUACAGAUAAAUUAUAUUUAUACACACAAAAACACAUGCACAAUGAACAUAGAUAUAUAGAAGUUCAGUAUUAAAUCUAUAGUUCAUUAAGGAAAGGAAAGGAAAGGAAUAAACCUAAACUCCGUUUUAUUCAAGUUAAUGAAAAAGAUACAUGUACUCCAGUACACAAAUAGAUAGUCUUCACCUUACUGCUUUGCUUUCUAUUUUCCAAUAUGACUACAGGAAAAGGAAAAUGACGAAAAAUAUGACUAAAAGCUAAUAUUAUUAAAUCUGGACAGAAAAAAUCCAAAACCGCAACUUAAGUUUCCUGGUUUUUGAUCCAUAGAAAAAACACAUUUAGCUUGAAAUAAUUUUACUGAAACACUUGCUUACAAAAUUAGAACAAUUUUAGAGCACUGUUCCUGAUAUAAAACCAACCUUGGUGCCUGAGUCAUUCUUUCGUUUCUUCCCCUUUGGUGCUGCAACAACUAUCAACAGAGCAAUUGAAGUAUUACAAGCAUAUAUCUAGUCACAAAAAAGGGAAAAUUUUGAUGUUGUAAUUUAUUGUAGGAAUAAUUUACACAUGCCAACGGGCAAAAAUAGAGAAGAGAAUUUCUCGGGAAGAGAAAACAAAAAAUUUAAUAAGGCCAGUUUUAACAGAUAGUCUUCAUAAUAAUAUAUUUAAACUCUUUUAAUUUAAUAAAAUAAAGAGGGUGAUUAAUCCCUCCACCCAAAGUGAGGCCACUAGCCAACAAAUGAAAAGUGUCUCCAAAUGACGGCCCUUUCAAUUUGUGGACUAAAUGUAUGUACUUCAAAAGUCAUGAGAUGAGAAAAUACAUUUAUCUUCAACCUUGAAGAGUGACUGUACAGUUUUAAGAGACGCUAAGUUGAAAUUCAGGACAUCCUCUCCCUAAUCAGGUACAAUUUUACAUGGGUCCCCAAUCAAGGAACUGAAGCACGUACAGUCUUCAGGUCUGCCAAUGUGAUAUUCUAAAAACUUUCCAACAUUCAGCCUAAAACUACAUUCACUAUACUUUUUAUGCAAGGAGUCACCUUUGGGGUUAAAUAAAAAAGAGUAGUACAUCAUUAUUUGAGCAGCAUGGUGAAAGGUAGUUGAACUAAAACUAAGACCAAUAGAGAAUGAGUUCAAGAAAGGUGUAAAAGUAAACCAUACCAUUGUUCUUGUGGUCCUCUUUCUCCACUCUUGCAUCUACAAGAAAUUUUUUUUUAUUAACUUAAGUAUGAAAUGAAAAAGAGCAUUAAUGACUAGUGGUCGAAGCUUUAGCUGACUCACAUGAAAAACCUUAAAAGAAACAAUAUUUAACAUCAUAGUUUUCUAACAGAUAUUGAUGCAUGAGAAAUCGGAGAAAUUAUUCAUAAUUAAACUUUAGACAGAUGCAUAGAAGAUAAACGAAGAUUCCAAGUAGACAAUAAGAUUGCACAUCAAAAUAUCUACUAUAAUUAUUAGACUAAUUUAUGCUAUAAUAAUAAUUACUAAUAAAAACGGCUAUUUUUUUAAAAAAACUAUCUUUUACAUAGUAUCCUGCAAUUUUCUUGUUUCAUCUCGUUGAUAUAAUGAAUUCUUUUUUGUUAAAAAAGUGUUUCGUAUUACUAAUUAUUGGUUAAAGUGUUAGUGGAAAGAUUGAAGAAAGUGUUCUCUUACAGUUUCAAUAAAUCAGCUGGGUUCAGGAAAAAUUGAGGAACAUUUGUAAUCUCUUGGCAAAUGGACACAAGAGGACUGGAAUGAGAAGGCAAAAUUCGAAUUCAUUUAUUAGAAACAGACAUUUUAUUAGGAUGAUUGGAAGUACCAAUGCCAAUGCUUAUAUGGGAAACAGAAGUUUUUACCCCAAAAGUAGAGGAGCUUGGAGUUUUAAAGUGAAUCUCUGCAAAAAAUUGUAACUAACAAAGUCCCAAGGGCCCCACACAAUCAUCCACGUGCACCCCCACAAGUAACCACUCUUACUCUUAACCAAUUACAUCAUUUUGCCCAUCUCUUCUCUUUCCUGAUCAUUUUAGUCUAUACUUAAGUAAUUCGAGGUCUAUCAAGAACCAACAAGUGGAUUUUCUUUGGAUCCCAUGGCUAGAGAGCAAUCAUAGAAUCUUUAUGGAAAGGAGAACUACAUUCUUUUUAGUAUAAUUGCAUAGCAUAGGAACUAUAUGUAUAUAGAUAUGCAUCCAUGUAUAUGUAUGUAUACAUAUCUAUGUACAUGUGUGUACAUACACACGUACGCAUGUAUGCAUGUAUCUAUGUGUCUCGACUAAUUGAGAGGGGUGUGUCUACAAUAUUUUAUCAGACCAUAAAUUCCCUCCAGGUGCAGGUGUGCUCAAACCCAAAUCUUAGAGAUAAAAUGCACAAAAACAAACAAUAAGAGCUUCAUUGGAUAACUAUUUGAUUUUUUGUUUUUGAAAACUAAGCCUAUAAAUACGCAUUCGAACUCUAGAUUUCUUGCUUUGUUAUCUACUGUUUAUCAAAGCUUUAUAAAACCAAGCCAAAAUUUGAAGACUAAAAAAAUAGUUUUUAAAGAUUUGUUGUUUCUUUUCAGAAUUUAGUUAAGAAUUCAACUCUUGUACUUGAGAAAUAUGCAAAUUAUGGUCAAAGUAGAUAGAAAUUGGGCUUAGUUUUCAAAAUAAAAAACAAAAAACAAAAUGGUUACAAAGGGGGACUUAGAUGAUUUCAUGUCAAAACACCCCAUCCAAACAUGUGUAAUAAUUAUACAUGAAAGAAAAAAUAAAACAUAGUAGUUAUGAAUAGGAAGAUGGGUAGAGAAAACAUAUAUUCCUGCAGACCAACAAGUGACAAGGGAAGUAACUCGUCGUUUCAUGAGCUAGUGCCUCAUUAUCUAAAUUGGAAGGAGAAAAUUAAAAAAAACAAAUGCAUACUUUUUAUUUCUAAUCAUACUUAGAAUCAUGUUAACAAAGUAAGAAAUGCACAGGAAGAUAAAACAUCAAAUGUGUUGAUGUUGAUACAACUAGGAAUUUGAAAACUACCGUUCAAGUUUUUUGGCUUUGCUUGUGCAGAACGUCCAGACUUUGAGCUCUUUUCCACAUACCCUUUCUCAAGGGCUCGUUGCUUCAAGCGGUUCUCGUCAGUACAUUUCAUCAGCCGAUCUACGCUUACCCAUUCGUCCCAACUGUUAGCAAGAUGUGCAUUGUAAUAACUUUUGUAUUGCUUUUAUAGAAAUGACAUAACUUUCAUAUGUCAGACGUCCAAUCAAAGCUAAUAAUUUCUAUAGUGCUUUCUAAAAAGCAUUCUUGACAAGAAAAAUGCGACCAACUGAAGGAAAAUUCUAAAGCAUUCUUAGUGGAUGAUAUCAGUAUUGCAAUGGAUAAGAACACAACUUAAACGUUUCUCUAAACAGUUGAGCAAGAAAGGGCUUUAAAAUGUGAAGGUAGGAGAUGUAGUAACCAAUAUAAGAAAAUGAAAACUUUAAGACUUCCUCUUCUAAAUAUGUUUUACAAAAAAAUAAAUAAACAAAAUCAAAUCAAAUCAAUCAAAGUGAAAACAGAAACAAAAGUAACACUCUGUAGUCAACUCUAUUAAUUGGUUCCGAUGCCAUUCAAAGUAAAGCAGAUACUGAUAUAACGUGUUGAAAAGGCUCAAAUUAAGUAAUGGAAACUAAUCACUAUUAUAUAUUAAUAAGGCACAAGCUUCCUCUGACCUUAUAAUUUUUUAAUGCACACAGAAUCAUGCAUCAAUAAGCGGUGCAAAAAAGAAUUAUUUAUGAAAGACCCUCAAUCUUCAUACGACUACAUGGUAUAAUAUAAAGCAUGUUAACCAACGAUGCCCUGUACUAUUGUAGCCAACCAGCUUGCUUUUGUGGCUAAUUGACAGAUCUUUGAUGCCACCUUGAUGGCUAAUGAACUUAUUGAUGAUUGGUCUUUUUCAAAUAAGAUGGUGGUGGUCUUGAAGCUUGAUUUGGAGAAGGCUUUCGAUACAGUUGAUUGAGACUUCUUGACUCUAUGCUUCAGGCAAAAGGUUUUGCUAUUCUAUGGCAAACUUGGAUCAGAUGUUGCAUCUCUAGUGUUAAUUACUCCAUCAUUAUUGAUGAACGUUCUUGUGGGAAGAUUAUUCCAACCCUUGGUAUCAAGUGGGGAGAUCCACUUUCCCCAGUUCUUAUUUAUUUUCGUUGUUGACUGCCUAAGUAGUCUUCUGGAUCAUAGUUCAUCCAUGGGUUUUAAUGUUGUACACCCCAUUGAAAACUCAACCUUUUCUCUGAAUCACCUACAGUUUGCUGAUGAUACCUUGUUGUUUUCCAUAGCUGAAUAAUUCAUUUGACAUUGUCUGAAUCUCCGAAUGCGCCAUGGUGCUUAAAAUUAAUUUUUCCAUGAGUGAGCUCCUCAAGAUCCACAUUCCUGAUUUAGAUUUUGUCCGGUUGUUAAAUUUAUUUAGUUGCAAAAGGGGUUUCCGGCCAAAGCUCCUUCAAAGAUUAUUUAUCAGUACAUUGUUUUGGUUGUUGGUCCGGUUCGACGUUGUCUUGAAGAUGGCGCUAUUACUUCUCUCUGGAAUGAGUCUUGGCUUAUUUGUGAUAUUCUUUCCACGGCUUAUCCCGACUUUUUUGUCUUGCUCUUCACCAAAGGGUUAUUGUGAAUAAUGUGUGAAUUCCAUCUACAAUGCUUGGGAUUGACAAUUAUGUCGUAAUCUUACAGAGUAGGAGAUUUCUAAAUGGGUAUCCUUGUCUCAACAACUGUCUUCUGUCAAAUUGUCUCUGCAUCUCUUUUAUACUUCUAUCACUCUUAAGGAAGCUUUACAUUUCAUUUUUAUAAAAUAAUGUGAAAAUUAAUUAUUAAAAAGGAAAGAAAAGUAGAAGGAAGAAGCAUACAAUAGCUAGCAUAUAAAGCCUAACUAAAUGCAGUCACACAAUGGAUGGGGAAAAAGGAAAAAAAGGUCAACGCCAACACAGUAGAUGAAAUGAGUGAAAUAAGAGAGGAUUCAAAUAUAAAAUAGAAAGAGAUACUCACUUUUUAUUCCAGCCCUGCAAAAUGUCAAAUUGGAAGCGGUCAAUAACAUGGGAAGAAACUUUUCACUUAAACAACAUACUCACAUUUAGAUCAUAUCUAACAUAUCCAAAACAUAGAAGUCAAACUUACUAGAUAGUGCAGAAAGUAUCUAAAUUCCUUCUUCCUAAGCUCAACUUUUUGAACCUGAAAAGUAAAACCAUAACUGGAUAACUAUUUGCUUUAUCACUGUGGAUACUGGAUAAGGAAUAAUACAGCAUUCAUUUUCCUUUCACGUGAGAUGGUACAAAAUGGAGGUCCUGGUGAAAAAUCAAUUUUUAAAUUGCUAUAAUUUUUCUUUUGCAGAAAUCUGUUGUAAUUUUUUGUCUAGAUUAUCUUCUUCAAUGUUGCUAGAGUACACUAAGCAUACAGGUGGGAAAAAUUGCAUUACAUAGAAGAAUUUUUGCAAAAGGAGUUAGUGAUCUUCAGAACAUGAACUGAUUACGAUGACUCGAGGUAACCUGAAAUUUUUGGAUUCUGAAAGAAAAAUUAUAGGAAACAAAACAUUUCAUUGGUUUGUGAAAUAUUGCAAGAAAUGGUAUUUUCAGAAAAUUCAGUCUUUGUGGACUAAUAUUUUAGAACUACUGGAGGAGCCUAUGUUUGAUUUUUCAUUCAGAAUCCUGGUUGCUCUCAUCAUGCACAGAAAAUAAUUCUACAGUCUGAUAUCCUCUACAUUAUGAAAAAGCAAACCAAUAUAUCAUAUAGGAGGACAAUUAACUUGUGAAAAGCUGCUCAAAUGAUGGAAGUUCCUUCCAAGUAAGUUUAUCAUAUUCCAAGAUAGACUUCAGUUGAAGGUACAAUAACUUUUAACCUAAUGAGGUCCAAAUUCCCUGUAGUUAUUAGAGUUUACAUGAAGCUAAUGUUUUGAUACUAGGAGAAGAAAAUAAUUUUUAUACAUAGCCCCUUGUAGUUAACAGACCAAGUUAAAUUUUUGAAGGGAUUUUGGGAAAAUUAGUUUGAAUUUUAUGGUAGCCACCUACAUAGGAUAUUAAGAUCAUACAAAUUUCUUAACAAUCAAAUGUUGCAGGCACAAGCAAUUGUUUAUGAGAUUAGUCAACAUUCGAGUAAGCUAGUCCAAACACUUACAAAUAACUAAAAUAAUUGUAAUAAAUAAAUUGUAAACAAGUGGUGCAUAUGUUGAAAAGAUUGGAUGAAGUACAAAUGCAACAAUUAUGAGAUGCUCAUUGGGGCAUGACAGUUACCUGUUGUUAUAAAAGCAUAUUCAACAAAGAAAAUCCUAGAUGACAUUCUCAACUUUAAGGAAAUACGAUGCAGUAUGUCCAGGUCUCAAAAUGGGAACCUCAUUGUGCGCAACAUUACAAAUCAGCGAUAGCAUUGUUCAAAUUUUACUAGGCAACUAGAAUGUCUAGCUGUGUUGGCUUUCAUUCUGUGGUGUUUAUUUAUCAUGGAUGGCUUUAUUUGAUAUAUUGUGGCGAAAGUGGAAUAAUUCAUCAGUAGACGUAGAACACAGAAGUGAACACACUUCCCUUUCACAAUGUGUUAGUCGUAUUUUGACCACGUAAAUCCUCAUUUUCCUUCAGUUUUAAAAUUAACUUUUCUUCGCAUUUGAAAGAUGAAAAAAAUAGUUAUAUGUAAGCAAGAAGGUCCGAGCAUAUUGCAUCACACAAAGUCAUCACCCAUUUUCACAAACAAAUUUUUUCCAUCAAGCAGCUUUUCCAAUAAUUUUUUUCUUGAUGGAACUUAUUUUCUCCCCAAUGGGACUCAGAAACUUCAACUGUUUUUCCUCCCAAGGGCUUCCUUAGAAUUUUGCUCUAUUUUUUACAUUUACAUUUUUGCUUAAUAUACAAGAAAAAUAUUUUAUUGAUAUAAUAUGGUAUACAAAAAGAGGAAAGCACCAAGCAAGGUUGCAAAAGUGACAAUAUAACAAAAAGUUGUUUGAGGUAUAACCAGGGAAAGGGGAGAGAAUAUUCACAAGCCCACGACCUAAAUAAAAACAUUAUCAUAAAAUCUAUCACAAGGGAGCAAUUUGUUGUUAAGAUCCCAUUGUUACACCAAAGGAAGGCUCUAAUCAGAAUAUUAUAAUACACAUGAGGGCAGGGAAUUGAAACUAACACCACCGAGAAGAAGAAAGAAUGCCUAACUGUUGAGCUAUGCACAUUUUGGAAAGAAGGAAUCGAUCAAUUGAAUCCAGAGGGUCUCGUUUCCUUCUUGAAGAAAUGUCCCACCAGAAAAUCAUGUGAGGGGCAGAUAAAUUUUGUUGUGCAUAGGGUCUGCCAACAGAAGGUAACUAGGAGCAUGAUCCAAAAUUUGCUAGCAAUUUGAAGGGUCUGCUUUAUUGAGGUUCCAUUGGUUGAAUCCAUAGGCUAGACAUUACAGUUUUGUUGAUUAUGAGCCUCACAAGAAAGUUUAGCCACCGAAGCCCACAAAGAACCAAAUAACUCUUAGAUAAUGCCCCAACCCUUCACAAAUUCUGUUAUUACUCUCUCCCCCAUAAAUCCCACAAAACAGCACAACUUGCCAUAAAAAGCUUACUUUCUCAUAAAAGUAAAGGGUGGUGACAGAACUCCUCAAUCAUCUCUGCAACCCCUACCCCUGUGUCUAGCCGAUCCCUGCGAACAUCUCUAGAUAUAUGGUUUGAUCUUUUGACUUCUAAAGUUUGUUCUUUUCAAGAUCUCAAAACUCCCAAAUAGAGUUACAUAAGAUACUUGGUAUACUUCUGGUUUGUCUUGGAAGAUUCGUUAUAGAAGAAGCUUAAAGGAUGAGUCUUUUAGAAUUAAGUUCUCUGUUGGAAAACUUUGAUUUGGUUAUUUUGGUAGACUGUGACGAUUGACACUGAUAUUCUAUUGAUUCUUCUGGAUUAUUUUCAGCCAAAUCUCAAUAAGGAGCUUGCAAAAUAUUCUUCUUCAACCAAGGUAUUAUUUAAAGCUUCGUGGGAAUCAAAUAGUCCCAAAAGAGCAAAUAUCCUUUUGUGGAUCACGUUAAACACUAGCAUAAAUACAUUAAAUUCACCUCAAAAGAAGAUGCCAUCUUCAGCUUUGCCGCCUUCUAUUGGUCCAUGACGUUUGAAAGCAGCCGAAUCCAUGAAUCAUCUCAAUUUUACUGCUCUGUAGCCAAGACUUGACGGAAUUCGUGUUUCAAAAUUUUGAAUUGAAAAUGUGAUUUUUUUCUCUAAUUACUCAAACUUUGUUCGUUUUCCCUUCAUCUAUUUUUUGGCCUGAACCCUUUUCUUCUUUGAUAAUGUUAGAAACUAAGCCAUUUCCAUAGCCCUGAGAUCCCCAUAACACUGGUCUCAGCUAAUUGAACGUGCGUACGGACUUCUCUUUCUCCGGUCUCAUAAGGAAUCAAACAAGCAUAAGAAAUCCGAUAACCAAGAGCAAAGAACAGGACUGAUACAAUGGAAUUAGGUUACGGAAGAAUUCUCCUCCCCCCGAGUAAUUUUCCUCUCUAGACCAGAUGCGAUAAAACGAAGGAGGAGCUGGCUCAGUGCUUAAUGGAAGUAUAAAGAAAAAGAAAGAGGAAUUGAAAGUUAAAUUGGAAGAAAAGAGCGCAGAAGAGAAGGUACCUUGGCUUCAUAGAUGCGAGGGCCGUGAUAGGCAAGGACCUUCUCGCCUUCGGAGUAGAGACUGGUAUUGGAGGGUGGAGAAUCGCCGCUGGACAUGUCGCCGUCGGUGGCAGCGUCGUCCUUGGAGGAGUUUACCAUUCUUGAACAGUCGGAGAUAGCAAGAGAAGCAACCAGAUAGGAGGCUCGCCCACUUCCUCGUGAGCUCGCGUGGCGCUCUGACCAGUGCGGAAUAGAGCGGGAACUGCCAUCGCCGCUGUUUUUCCUUUUUCUCGUCUUUUUUUCCCCUAUCCUCUUAAUUUUACUUUACCCUUUACUUAAUAUUUCAUAAUUAAUUUUCUUUCUUCUCUCUCUUUUUCUUCUUUUUUUUUUUUUUGGAAAAAUAUAAUUUUGCUCGUUCCUUUGAGAAUAGUAGAAAUAGAAAUAUAGAGGUGAUUUUGUUAAUUUGUUUAUAAACUUCAUACAAUUUUAUAAUACACUACUAUACUCUCUCCUUUUUUUUUGUUUUUUUUUUUUUUACUUUAUUGAUUUAUUUUCAUAAACAGUGAUUCGUAUUAAUGUUAGUAAAUAUCAGUCUUAACAUAAAAUAGAAGUUUCAUACUUGUAAAUUACUAAAAACAAAUCAAUAACAUUUUCGAGGUUGACACUGUCAAUAAUGUAUGAGCCCAAAAGGAUGUUAGGUAGUGAGUGAUAUGAAUAGGUUAGUAGCUCCAUCUUACGAGACAAACAAACUCAUGUACUUAAUAGCAGCAAUGAAAAAACCUAAACCGAAUCAAAUAACUGAAUUGAAUCGGAUCGAACCGUUUCGGUUCAAUUCGGGUUGAAUUGGGCUUAAACAAUAAUAUUGUCGAAUGGUUCGGUUCGAUUCAAGUGUAUUAAGUUAAUAAUACACUUGCUAGCUUAUGUAAUCGAAUAUAUGUUAUUCGACUCCUCACCAAUACAAGCUCUUUUACAUGUUAGAUCUAGAUCCCAACAAUUAAAGCUUUAUAAAAUUCAAGACAAACGCAUGUCGCAUAUCAACAACAUUGAUUGUUUAAUGCACUAACUUGUUCAGAAAAAUUUGAAGGUUUUUUAUAUUACUAGUAACAACACGUGCAAUGCACGUCAAAUGUCAGUGCUUUAUUAAAAAAUUAAAAUAAAAAUUUUCAAACAAAAAUUAUAAUUUAUAUAUAUAUAUAUAUAUAUAUGUAUGUAUGUAUAACAUACUUUUACUUGUAUAGAGUUAAAAAAAUAUCAUAGAAAUUGUGCUAAUAAACUAUUUGUUUAAUAUUAGACACUGUAAUAUAGAUAAUAAAUCAAACAUUUUAAAUGAUAUUUUCAAAUAUGUAUAUUGUAUUUUUCAUUGUGUUCUCAAUAAAUUAUAUUUUUUUCAUAAAAUAUUUUAUACCGGUACAAAUACAAAUUAAAGUAGUAAAUUAUUAAAACAAUAAAAUUUUAAAUAGCAUAAAAGUUUGUUGGAAGUAUUUGCGUGUGUUUUUUAUAAUAUUGCUAAUAUUUUCUUUUAUACUAAUAACCAUAAGUUACUAAUUAUCUGUUUUUUUAAAAAAACAACCUACGAGUAUGAAAUACAAUAAAAAGAAAUCCUAGAUUCACACAUUCAUCUUGCUUAUACGUGACUUGAUGCUCUAAUGACAUAACCUCAAACAUUCUCACAUUUCUAUGUUCAUCAUCGCAGGUUUGAGAGAAUGAUAUAUUUCGGUUAGCACAAUGAACUAUAUAUAGUGCACUAAAUUUGUAUAAUGAGAAUAAACCUUAAAUGUAAAAAUUUAUUUAUUAUUGGUGUUACAUGUCUAAUUAAUAUAAUGUAGUUAGUUAAUGGUUUGGUAACAAUAACAACACAUAAUAAUAAUAAUAUUUUUUUAAAAAAAAUUGAAAAUCUAGGAAGCUAAAAUGUUUUUAAAAUUAAAAAGAAUAAAGUUUAAUUAAUAUAUAUCUAAUGUAUUUAGAUUUUAAUUGUCAAUAAACCUCAUAAUUCAUUCGACUUUACAAUUUUUUUUUAAACUUUGAAUUAAUAAAUUUUUAAAAUUGACAAAAUUACAAUUAUGGACUUGGGUUUGUCAAGCUUGACAAAUAUUUGUUUAAUUGCAAAUUAAGUGAUCGGAUUUGUUAGCCUCGGUAAUCUUACGCUCCCAGGUCACACGUUUAUGAAUAUUUAUCACACCGUAUUCUAUUUUUAUAAAUUAAGUUAUUUAAAAAAAAUUAAAAUGUUUGAAAGCCAAUUAAAAUAGAUUUUUAAGUAUAUUUUAAACAACCUUUAGAAAAAAGAGAAACAAAAAUGAUUUUGUUGACAAAUAUUUUUUUCUUAAUUCAAUCCAAACGAACCCUAAACACAGUAGGCAAAAUAAAAUGAAGCUUUAUGUAUGUACAUAGGUGUGUAUAUAUACCACACUCAAUUUUUGGAUAACUAAAUCUAUCACAAUCAUUAAAUUUUAACUAUUAACCAAUUAAUAUAAAUAAAUAAAUAAUAUUUUAAUUCUCAAAUUAAUAUUUGGAAUUGAAUGUAUAGUUAAAUCAAUAUAAAUAAAAAGAAAAAUGAAAUUGAAAAAUUGACAAAGAAUUUUGUCUUUUAUUAUUAUUAUUGUUAUUGUUUUUUACCAUUGUAUUAUGACUUAAAAAAAAAUUGUAAGUGAGCGUAAUUAAAUCCACCCACUGAAUGAAAAUAGUUAUUUCAAAAUUAUUAAAACGUAUGUACAAAUUAAAAAAAAAAAAAAGAAAAGGGAUAGUGGCAAGAUUUAACAAUUAAAUUCAAAAUAAUUAAGUAUAUAGAAAUAUUUUUAAAAAGUUGUAAAUAUAGCAAAAAUUGUCAAAUUUUAUCAAUGAUAGAGUCUAUCACUGAUAGACUAUGUUGUAAAAAUUGUUCAAUCACCGAUAGAUCAUACGAGUUUAUCAGUGAUACAAGUCUAUCAGCAAUAGUUUUGCUAUAUUUACAAUUUUUUUUAAUGUUGUUAUAUCCUUAAUUAUUAUUUUUCAAAUGGUCAUCAAUUACCUUUACUCAAAAAGAGUUUAAAUUAUAAUUUGAAAUUGUAGGUAGCUGUCAUGUUCAUGUACAUUUGAAAUUGGGUAGGCAGUCAACUAUGUAUAAGGAAAAUAUAUUUCUCAUUGAAUAAGAAUACAAAUUAAAAAUAACAGGACAAAAUUAAGGUUAACGUUUUAAACUAAACACACAAUCAAAACUAUUCAAAUUAAAAAUAAUAAAAAAUAAAAUGAAUUUAUAGAUAACUAAAUACGAAGACCUUUGGAACUAGAUUUUUAAUAAAUAUUGAAGUUAAGUGGGUCAAAUGUUAGAUAACAAUAAUUAAACAAUCGAUUAAAAAUUUUAAAACUAUUAAGUUGGUCUUUAUUAUAUAAGAGUAAAUUAAGUUAGGAACAAAAUGUUGUUACACUAAAUAAAGAUUAAUAUAUAACUUGAAGGUUUGUGUUUGCCCCUUUGUCCUGUUUUAUAUAUAUUAUUUGAAUAACAUAAUUUAUUUUAGCUAUUAAUAGUUAAUUUAUAAAUGAUAAAUUAAUUAAUUAUUUAUCCGUAGACUAAAAUUUAAUUAAAAGUUAUUAUCGUCGAUUAGUUCAAUUUAGUUUUGAUACAUGUUAUACUUUAUGUCACAUACAUAGCAUCAAACUAUUUAAAUAUAUCUAUUAUGUACAUAUAUACUGAGCUUAAGAAUUGUAGAAAGAAAACAAUGAAAUUUUUUGAAUGGUUUAACCAAAUUCAAGAAUGGGUAUAAUGAUACAAAAUCAAACAAAAAGAACAAAAUAAAUAAAGUAUAAAAGUAUAUGAUAGCGUCAACAACUUUCAACCCUUUCAAAUUGUUAUUUAAUCUACUUGGAGUUGCGACUGAACUAACGAACGAACAUUUGGACUUUCCAUCUUCAAUGAUGUGAGGAGGUGAUGUGUCUAUGUCCAUCUCCAGGUGCGGGGCCCGAAUCCUUGAUACCUCCAAGCGUGUCGUAAUUAACAAAUUUGUGACCAUCUCCACCAGCGCUGGGACCUGACUGCUUAAUGGCUCCCAAAGAAAGGCCUUCAAAGAAAUCUUCAGCUAUUGUUGCCGCCGAGCCCGAGCCCAAGCGCAUGAGGGUCAAUGGCCUGGCGUCUGUUACAGUAACUAACCCGCCAUUGCCCAAUAGCGCAGCCACCAGAAUGAAGCCGAUGAAAAUGUUGGUGAUGCUCCUCAUAGUAACGUAGGCUUGAGAGAUGGGGGGGAAUUUGUGUAAGUAUAUGUGAAUUUAAUGGGGGGAGUUUGGGAGGUAUUUAUAGGGAAGGAGGGUGGUUGGAAAAGGUACUUAUUUA
rnacentral:lncRNA from 1 species